rnacentral:lncRNA from 1 species
CCGCCGACGCUGGUCGGGCGGCCAUGGCGGCCGCCGCGCUCGCGAGGAAUUAAUCCGUAGGCCGCCCGUUCUCGCAAGGGAAGAAGAAGAAGGAGAACCCCCACGCUUUAAUUUCUUGCAGGAAAGAAAGUAAGGAAGGAAGAAAUCAUAUUGCUCGGAUUUUGUGGAAGAGGAAGAAGGAUUUUUGUCAUCUGUGUGUUGGGUUCCAGAUAAUUCUUGUUGCUUGCGGUGAAUUUUGGACAUGCUUUUCCGUAAGAUUAAAAUGAAAAUUGCUCACUUGAUAAUCAUCAAAUCGCAGUUGCUAACAAUACCAUGCUUCUCACUUGAUGCUUGCUAAAGAGUUUUUUUUUUCUAGAGGUGUAUAAAUCGUAAAUUCAUGAUUUGUUAGAUCGUAACUUAGUUAUCGCGGCUGCAGACGCUUUAGAUAAUAUUUGCCCCGGCCCCGCGGGAUCACCAGUCGGGCGUCAGCCAUGCCGCUUCGAUGUAGUGCAGAGGAAGUGCCGGCGGAUGCAGCAGGUGGCACAAAUGAGGAGGGCCCGAAGUAAUGUGCCAGAAAAUUUUGCCGAUCGGUUCGUCCAGUAUUUUACGAUUUUAAUCCAUCUCAAAACAAGCGUGUACGGUUCAAAAGUAGCAUAAAAAACGAAAAAUAACAUAUCAUUUGUAACCAUCACAUUUAAAAUGGCUUAUCACAAGGCAGUUCAUCUAAAUUAAUUUCUCUCUGAACGCAAGACUGCAACAGACUAGCAUUAGUAGAAUCCGAUUGCUUGUGUCUAACGGGUGGCCUUGAAGUGCCAUAAAUAGCGUGCGAUUUGGCCGCUAUAGCGGCACGGAAGCCUCGGUGCGACGCUAUGACAAUUGCCACGAAAUCAACGUUAAUCCCUAAUUUUGCAUUAAUUCUUCAUUAUAUAACAGAUAAAGUUAGAUAUGGCGGCCGCUAUUGCGGCCGGAGAAUGCUGCAGCAAAAUGAUUUAGCGUGUGACUUAAAACCUUGCUGCAUCAUUAUCUUAAUCUAACGAUCGUUUCUUUUUCUCAUAAUACCGUUCCGUGGCCUAGAUCAAUCAAUCAAUCAAAGUACAAAGAAAAACCAAUCAAAACAUUAGGGAUUACGCUAGACACUAGACAUGGCUUAUAAUUGAGGGAGAUCAGGUGCUCACGUACCUGAAUUUUCAGAGCUUGGCAAGUAGACGGCUAGUCAGAUUGUCGCUGCAGUCGCCGGCGUCCGGCGUCUGUGUGAUGGACGAUGUGAGACGACAGAGACGAAGGAAUUACGGGAUUCAUAGUUCGGCCGAGUAACUAUGUGUCUAUUUCUACGUUACCGGCAAAAGUUAUUGGUCUAGAGAGCACCCAAUGCCUCUAUGGCAGCUCUGCCCUGGGGUCGGAUGGCCCAUCAUGGGCGUCCAUCAACUGGCCGUGAGAGGGUUGGGGCUGGGCCAUGUGACCGUUAGGGCAUCUCCAAGGAAAACCCUCAAAUCCUUCCUAUUUGUCCAAAUCUGUCCAUACGGGGAUCCAAGAGCAAAAUAUACAACCCAAUGUGAACCUCCAUUUGUUUAAAAGAGGUCCACACUCUCAAUUUCUUCCCCAAAUUUGGGGAAAGUAUGGGGACUCACCAUUUGUGCAAAACUCAUCCAAAUCUUGUCCACAUGUCUUUUUGGCCUACAUGUCAAAAACUCAUGAAGAGAUAAAUGAGGAGUUAUCAUUGGAUAACUUGAUAUUUUUUACACCCCCAUUUGUGCAAAGACCCCUCAAAUGGAUAAAUGGGGACUCACCCUUGGAGAUGCCCUUAUCCAACAAAUGAAUACGGGCUGAGCAGCUAUCCCUGUCGAUUCCCCUAAAAAAAAUGCUAUCCCUGUUGGCUGACACACAUUUCUUGUCGGGAAAACGCAUUUUCCUGUCAGUUCUCGGCCGAUAAGGAUAUUCGUGUAUGUAUGCGGUAGUGGGGGCAGCCUGGAACCUUUCCAUCACAUUAGCAAUCAGAAACAAUUUGUAGGAUACGAGGAAGCACCUUUACAUCAUGCAGAUAAAUUACAAAGAAUCAUAUCAUUCGGAUAAAGGAAUGCUGACUAAAUGGAUGGUUCAAACUUUAAAAUAUACUCCCUCCGUUUUGAAAUAACCGACGUGGAUUUGUAUAGAUUUUUAUAAGAAUCCACAUCAUUUAUUUUGGGACGGAGGGAGUAUAUGGCUUUGAACCAUUCGGACAGCUACACGGAAGAACUUAGUAGUCACUUUAUAAAUGUCUUUCAGGAUAAAUUGUAAACAUUUUAUUUAUUUCUACAGCAAAUUACUGUUGUGCUGCUCUCGUUAGCUUAAAAUACAUGUGAGAAUAUAAGGAUAGAUCUUUAAGCAAACAUAUUCCCGAUCGAGCCUACAAUUGUACAUGCGGCACCUCACAUAACGUGAAGCUUUUAAUAGGUCAUCUGGGCCGAAGCUUUAAUGGGGGGUGGGGGGGGGGGGGUUUGGGGGGGGGUUUAAUUAUUUUUUUGACCGAAAACUGUAGGAGAGACUCCGACAGUAUAUAGAAACAUAUAUAUAAAGAAAAGGAUAUUUACAAACACAGAAGCAGAUUACAGGGCGGGACACCACAGAAGGAGUAAAAAGGAAAAGGACUUACUCAGGGGACCGAGGCGAGGGAGACCAACCAGGCCCUCAGCGCCUCUUUCGCCCCGACACUAAACCUACAACUCUGAGCUCUGAUACAAAGCGAGAACUUGGCCAACCAGCCAGCCACAAAAGGGACAGAAUUAUUGAAGAUACGAUCAUUCCUACACUUCCAAAGUUCCCAGGCUGCUGAGCAAAAAAUUUCUUUGUGAAUGAGGGAAGGCACUGAGGUUCUGGCGACGGCCACUCUGAGACUAAUGUCCGGAUUGAUGCCCAACCCAUUCCAGCUAAUCCCCAAUUUAAGCCAACACUCACGGCUGAAGCUGCAGUCAAAGAACAGGUGCUGGCAGGUUUCCCUUUGAGAGGCAGAGCAGAGGACACAUUCAAGAAGUCCAUCUCUGUUGCAAUUCCUGCGAUCCAUCAUGUCUCUGGUGUUGAGCCGAUCCCUCAUCAAAAGCCAGACAAAACCCUUGAUCUUGGAUACACAUCUAUUCUUCCAAAGCCAGGUGGUACGUUGAUCAUUCAGUAAACUUGGGAAGCAGGACAGGUAAUAAUGCUUAGAAGAGAAGGAUCCAAUACACCAUCUGGUCACACAAAGGUCUUCCUCGUUCUGGUCCAAGAUGAGCUCAUCAACGAUGAGGUUUAUGGACAUGAGCUACUCGAACGCUAGAUUGGACAACGGGAGAGCAAACAGGUCAAAGCGAUCAGGAGAUUGCCAAAAGUUUCUCAGGUUGAUCUCCUUGUUAACAGCAAAAGAAAAGGCCCGAGGGAACCUUUCACGGAAGGGGAUUCCGUCCCAACUAUCCAUCCAGAAGGAGAAGGAGGCUCCAUUGCCCGGCAGACCCUUAACAAUUUCCUUGAAAUUGGGGAUGAGAGCAGCGAGAUCCCGUCACCAGAAGGAACCAACAGAAUCCAGCGAUGAAGGAACGGAGUCGGCAUAGUAGGACUUCCAGAUGAGUUUGACCCAGGGCAGGUUCUCCUGAUUGUAAAAUUUGUGAAGAAAUUUAACCAUUUGAGCCUGAUUGAAUACAGCGAGAUUAAGGACCCCCAGGCCACCUUUAGAUUUAGGCAGGCAAACUUUAUCCCAGGCCGCAAGCGCUUUACAUCUGCCAGUGACUUCCGAUUUGCUCCAUAGCGCGAUACGGCGACGCUUGUCCACUGCCUACAGAAAGCCCUCCUGUACCUUGAAGACGCUGAGGGCAAACACAGGGAGCGAUGAAAAUACUGACUUGACAACCUGCAGGCGUCCCCCGAAAGAGAGGAAAGAAGCACAAGAAGCCAGACGCUGAUCAAUUCGGUCAAUAACGGGCAUAAGAUCCCUAAUCUUGGGCCUGGAGGUACCGACAGGAAGCCCAAGGUAGGUGAAGGGGAACUUUCCCACCGCACAACCCAAAGUGCCAGCCAGAUUCUGAGCCUUUUGCUCCGAGACAUUGAUCGGAAUAAGGCAGGAUUUAGCAAAAUUCACUCUAAGACCAGUGGCUUGGUAAAAGGAUUCCAGAAGAGCCUUGAGACAGACGAGUUGCAGAAUUGAGGCUUGCAUGAUGAUCAAAGUAUCGCCAGCGUAUUGAAUGAUUGGGAAGUGCACAUCACCAUUGGGGAUUGGGAGUCCCAGCACUCCAAGCUGGAAGACUCUGUUGACAAUAAUCUAGAGAAGAUCAGCAGCCAGCACAAAGAGAAGAGGGGAAAGAGGGUCCCCCUAUCUCACUCCCCGCCGACAAAAAAUCUGUUUGCCAGGAACACCAUUGAGAAGAACCGCAGAAGAACCAGAUGCGAGGAUGUUCUCAAUUCAACCCAGCCAGGCCUCAUCAAAACCCAUAUGACGCAGGGGGGUUUAAUUCCUUUAAAGAUUAAUUAAAGAGUACGAAGUACCCUAAUAUAUAGAGUAAAGUAUGAAGCUGUAAAGUAGAAAUAUUCAGAGGCCUCCUUGUUCAGUUUUUGUGUAUCGGUGCUAGGCCUCCCUUAUAAUAAUGCUGCGCAGCAGCCUAUACUUCUUAAACAAUUAACAGUUGCUCCAAGUAUCUUACUUUAAAAAAAGUAUAUACAAUUGCUCCAAGUAGCUCCAGCAGAUACAAUUCCUACAAGUAGGUUUUCCUGUUAAGCCAAAAUCUCUUGCUGCACAGAUGUUUUAUUUCUCAUGUGCCAUGUGUUAUUUUGUUUUCGCUGCAGAAGUUGGAAAUAUACAUCCUGCUGGCUGUGAGGAUUCACUGGGAAUUUUUCGAGAGAUGGCUAUGAGGAUUCACUGAGAAUUCGAGAGACUGAUCCGCUGAGAAAGAGAUUGACAUCUAGAGGGAGAUUCAAAUUCAAGCUACCAAGUUGAAUAGCUGCUCAAGUUGAUAUAGAAACAAGAAAACUGGAGAAUCAGAGGGAAAAGGUGUUUAUUAGUCCUCCCUUUGGUUUAUGUUCUUUAUACACAUCAACUGAACAAGUAUUGCAUCCCCACACAUGCUAUAGUGGUGCGACUGUUUUACUGUUAGAAACUGUUAAUUGUUUAAGGAAUAUCAUGCUGUGUCACUUUGUGUUGUCAAAAGGUGUUCAAUUGAUUUCAGUGUCCUAAAAUUUCUAGAUGCUGAAAUCAACACCUGUUCGUAUCUCCUACAUAUCUGGCAGCCAUCUUUUUUCGUCCUUGUUUUCUCCUAAUAGAUGCAUCCUGCCAGUUUAUCUUCUGGCUGUCAGCUAACUUGCGCAGUCUGAAACUCAGAACUAUGAUAAUCUUGAUUCACAUUGAUGUUUAUGAUGCAUGGUUCCUUAGGUCGUUUGUGCUAUAAAGUGAGGAGCUUGCUAAACCUUUUGCUUACAUAGUAGCCUGUAGCAAAAGUGAUAUUUUAAGAGGAUGCUGACCAAUGUGUAGGGAAAUUGGUUACUUGUAUCCACUAAACUUGGCCUUUGCCUUCUCUUUUGUUUAUUACGUUCUCAGUGUAUUUGGGCCGGUCAUUACAAGGAACAUGUUGUGAACAAGUGCACCCUUUCUUGUUUAUUUUUCGGGGAAAGCGCACCCUUUUACAAUGAGACAUGUUGUGAAUAAGUGCACUCUUUCUUGUUGACCCUGUGAUAAUGUGGUUGAUACAGCGCAAGGACUAGAUGCUGAAAGAGGGGAUCAACAUGCCCGUUGCCCAUUUGAUUUGUGCGCCGACAUCCCCUCGUCCUAAAAAGUCAAACCAUUUGCGUCCUGUGUCCACGCUCGGCAACCGGUAUCUCCUUUUUUUUAAUCAAGUGAAAACUCUUGUUCAGUGUAAGCUUGCAAAUUAUUUUUAUAAGCUGUUAGGUAAAAAACACACGGCUCGGAUCAAAGUUGGAGAUUCCACCCAUCGCUUAAACAAACUUUUGCACAUAGUCCCUUACCAUUGAGUUUGAGUUUAAAUGGUUAGUGAGAUUUUAACUUUGAUCUGAGCCAUGGAUUCAAUGACCUAGGAGAAUAGUUUUCAAGUUUGCACCGAACGUUCAUAUAUCCUUUUUUCGUCGGUAUAGGGAAAACUUUCCCUGCUGGGCACAGCCCCCAUGGCGUCACCGCAGCGGGCCAGACGGGCGAGAAGGAGAUGAAGACGCCACAGAUCAACACGACAAUGAGGUGCACGUGAGCAUGCUGUCCAUGCCGACUGGCUUCUUGUGCUACAUAUCGUGCAGUUUCUCUUGGCUAUCUUCUUGAAUUUGCAUGUUUAGUUGCAAGAGUUUACCACAUUGUGGUUUGCAAGCAUUAUGCUAACAUUGAGCUCCGGCAUUCAUCAUUAAUAAAAAGGCCCUAUAGGCUUUUUAUUAAUUUUCCCAAAUCACAGAACGAGUAUAUAGUUUUGAAUUUUCCCAAAUCACAGAACCAACUUGCAAUUUAUGGGGAGAUAUAUAUUUUUAAAGAGAAUCAUCAUAUUUAAAUAGGGUCCUAACAAAUUUGAUCAAAUUUACAAAGUUUUGUUCCAGUCGAGUUAUAAGUACGAAAUAAAAAGAACAGAUGGAGUAACAUUUACAUAUAGUACCGAGCGACCGGUGUUCAGCUUGUCAAAAUCUCUGACACACCUGGGUUGGAUUUUCAUAUCAACAACCACACGAUUGGCUAUCUACCUCACUCUACCAACAUACCGAAAAAUGUAUUGAAUUUCUAUGCAUGACUGCUACUAAUAUGGUGUGGCUACAGUUACAGAAAAUCGCCAGACUCCUCCUUGCUGUGUACAUGCUACUCUAGAUCAUGUUUUAACUUUGCUCACACGCAGCCAGAUCAUGCUUCAGCUUGCUGACACAUGCAGUCGGGCAUCGGUAGGUUGUAUAUUGAUCCAUCCUGUUUUCUGAGCCCCAAACCUUUCGAUUCACUGUGGCGACGGAUGUCCUGCAUGUGGUGCCUGAACCGAUACCACCUACAAGCAAAACAAACAAGUUGAAUAUAGUUCCUCAACAAAGUGGUGACUCAAUGCAAAGAGAUCAGAGGUGUUUGAUUGAGACUCGAUGAACAUGCUAUUGUUGAGCUAGAUUUAAAUGUAUUUAAGUAUUGUCAACCAACACUAGAUAAAAUAUACUAGGAUUGUCAAUGAGCAGAACCAUUUUCUGUUUAUCAAAGCGGACAAGGUAACUCAAAACUGACCCGAUAUCUGGGUUGUCAAAGAGUAGCACCAUUUUCCGUUUAUCUGGUUUUAUUGUCUUUGCAUGUCCCCCAUACAGAUAACGCCUGUGCCCCAUCAGAAAGUGAGGGAAAUUGGUUCCUUGAGUAGUUACAAAGGCUUCGCUCUGUAAACAGACGGUGUAGUCCAAUGCUGCCAGUCUAGAUGAAUGCCCCUGGAUAGCAUAGGAAAGUGAAUCGAAGCUCGAAGGUAGUCCAACAUGGAAAUAAGAAAAAGCUCUGAUCCAACUGUUACCCUCAAACUGAACAAGGGUUCCAGAUGCUUGCUGUAAUGCAAAUGAGCUAAUGAAAGAAUGCAUCCUUUCUAACAUUGAUGAAAAAAUGGAGUAACUAACGGAGGUUGGGAAUACCAUGAACUGUGCAAGCUCCUCAGGUGAAGUGAGUGUUUCCUUUGUUUGCAGAAGUGGAAAUAACUGCCGAAGAGAACAUAUACUUUUUAGCAUUGUAUAUUUUACCGGAGGCGACAUAGAGGGAGGUAGUAUUAUCGAAUCCCAUUCCUCGCAGCAUCAUUCCAACCUGCAUAAACUGAACUAGUAAGAACAAAUAAAUUCAUAUUAUCACACAAACAAGAGCUUUAUUUCGCGAUUUCGAGCAAAGCAGCUUAUUGGCAUGUAUCUGAAAUUUGGCAUGAUACAUAGCAAAGCUUUUAACACAAAUUUAGCUAAUCACUCCACUAAAAUACAUAUAAACAUGCUAAGAUAUUCUAGAAAUGAUCUGUCAAGUGAUAUUUUGGCACUCCUUAUUGUGUCUGCCAUAUAACUCCCUACAUGAUGCUAUUUUGCACGGCUGCAGAACAUAGUGCUAUUUGGACUGUCCAACUGUAUUCUCCAGCAGAAGACAGACUGACGAACACGGCAUGAACUCAAAAAAAAAGCAGACUAAGGCUACCUUGCUACCGCGGUGGCAUUUCAAAGCACUUAUUUAUCCCUACUCUUGGAUGUAACAAUUAGUUAAAAGCAUUUUUUAGAUCUGUAACAACAAAAUCUUAUUAAAAUUAGUAAAUAUCCACCGAACUGGCCCUAAGAAGUGUUGCAACAAGAACAUACUGAAAACAAUGGCAGGGAACUAACAUCUCAACCUCUAGAGGAGUUAAAGGGCAUCUCCCAUUCCUCCGGUUGGCCUCAGGAUUUAUUACUCGCCCAGGUCGGUGAAACUUCCCUCUCCAACUCCGUUCACGAGCAUUUUCCAUGGCAAUAUUCUCCUUCAAGUCACCAUCAUAUAUACAGCACGAGAAAGCUACCAUGUCCUGAAAUACAGCGCACAUGAUCAUCCUAAAACUUAGUGUAGUGAAGAAGAUCUAGUAACAGCCAUUCGAAGCAGUACGAGAUAUUGUAUUAGAACCUGUUCAAAGCGUAGAUGCACAGAGAUGUACUUCCCACCAGUCAAAUAACUCUUCUUGGUCAUUCGGUCAACCAUAUUAUCUGCAAGAAUUCUUAUGGGUUCAGAAAAUCUCAAUGCCUCAUAGUUUGCCAAACAUCUCAACGCAUUGAUAUUUGAUGGAACUGAAUUGGCCAAUCUAUUUGAAAAAGGAGCAAUACGCACAGCCCUGUUUCAUAGAACAGAAUGAGCAAAGACAUGGUAGUACAUAAAACCUAGAGUUACAAGAAUACGACACUACAUAAAAAAAAGGGACAAGAACACAUACCCUAGCUCCAACAAUUUCGGAAGCACCUUUUCUAAGUAGUAACUGUGAGAUGAAAAGGCUUUGGUUCUCAUAUUCGGUAUGCUGCUAAUAUUAUGGUCAAACUGCACAGAAACAGUUUCAGGAAGUUCUUUCACAACCCUUACAUGUUUUCUGAGUGUCUCAAUAAAAUGGUCUUCAUCAAAGAUGUCACCAAAUCCGCUGAAAGAAAUCAUGCAGGAACCAAAAACAUUAUCCCUCUGAAAAAGUGAUGAGAAAUAAAAGAACUAACAUAUGGCAAAGCAUGAACACACUAGAACAUAUGAACCAAAGCUUUAUCAAAAUAACAACUCCUUAUUCAAUCGAGUAUUUUCAUAUGGAUAAAACUUGUAAAAUAAGAAAUUUUUACAUGAUAAAAGACAAGACCGUUGGCAUACUUUGGACUUUAUUGUGUUACAUGCUUGACAAGGAACAAAACAAGAGUGGUGAGAUGCAUUGUUAAAAUGGAUGUAUAAGAUAAACCACCCAACAGAAACAUAAUUACGUUUCUUUUUCCCACAAAAGAAAAGGAUAUUGAUCCAUUUCACUUAUUUACAGCAGAUAAAACAUAGACGGAAGAAAUAGUUUUCAUAUAAUUGAGAAAUUGCUAACUGAAGUAAAUUUGCAACUUAAGGAUGCAGGCAACAUUAACAAGCUAGUUCUCAAGAAAGUGACACAGGGAAGCAUCUGCUGUUUUUCUGUUUCUCAUCUAUUGGCACUCUACAAAUAAGCAAAUUAUUUACCUAUUGUCACGCCAAACACUAUUCAAAUGAAAAGCUGGGGUGACAAGAGUUGCAUUAAGUAAGCUGGCCACAGCAACAGCAUCACAAAUCUGUAUUGAGACACCAUUGUUAGACUUGGAUAAACACCAAAGAUUAAACAUGUUCUAAAGUGGAAAUCAAGUUAGAGAAGUUAAAAAAAAACUGUGCAGAUCAAGAUCAGCACAAUGUCACAAUGACUUUCAAAUGUAUUGAGCAUUUUCUAGAAGAUACAACAUGCAACAAAACAUUCCAUCAAUUAGGAAUCCAUGGACCAUAAGGACUCAGAGUUCAGAACUUCAGAUAGCUAAUAUAGAACGUUGGAUCAGAUGCUCAUUUAGGAUACACCAGAAAAGGUACUUUGGUACCAAUACAAGUGUUCUUUUAGUAGCGUAUGGACAAUAAAGAUGGCUCUCAGUAAAUAUAUCUAAGUUAGUCCAUUUAAAUUCAGUAUAAGAAGUUGAUCAUGCAACUUACAGAAAUGCGUUGCUGAUUCAGACCACCAUUUGCUUCAAUAAUGAGAAAACCAUUUGAUGGUGGUAACGCUGGAAAGUGUAAUAUGGAGUAUCAAUACAAACUACUUAGCUACUCGUCUGUUACUGCAUAUCAUGAUAGCUAAAGUAGAAUUCAACUGGCUAAUUAUGGUACAGAAACUCAUAAGAAGUAUUUCAAAUUUGCACCUGAUUGUGUCAACCUCUUGCUGAUGCAAGGUACCCAUCGCUUUCCAGAUUUUUUAUAAUGGGGUGUCAUUAACUGCAUAAUAACAAGGCAAAAUCAUAAUACAAACAUGCCAUGAGUGUACUUAUGUAAAGUUUAUAAGAAAACAUUUGAUGAACGCGGUGAUUAAAAGCAUUCAACUUGUAUUGUAAUUGGAUUAUUAUUUAUUAGCACCAUAGUCAUGAUCAACUCCAACUGACAGGUAAAACCUCUUGGACCUUUUAAAUAGCAACUCCCAAGUUGCAGGACAGAUUCUAGGCCUGCCAAAUGAAAGGCUAUAUCACCUUUUUGGCAUAUAUAAACAUGAAACAGGGAGUACAUUAUUUAUAUCAUACAUAUGGGAGAAAACAUAUAUACUUCCAUCUCAAGGUGCCCAAGUAUCUUCAUUGACCUUCAUUAAUCAUUAGUGCAUUAUGUCAAAAUGAUCCAACGAUUGUGUCCUCGCACAAGCAGCCAAAUUGAGGGUGUUUCAGAUUCACCAGGGAUUAGAUUACUAGUAAGCUACUACGUAGAGCAUUUUGCUACGUCCAGCCCCCACAAAACUAGCAAUUCAGUGUUGCAAAACUACAAGAAAUUUAACAACGAUUUACAAUCAAACUGUGGUCAUUCGUUAACACGUGAUCAGAUAACAGGCAAGGCAAAUUUCUCCAACGCACAUGACCGGAAGAAAAUCCACUAGUUUUUAAGCCAGCCCACUAAUCCCGCUAGCUCCAAGAAUGAAUAGAUCCAAUUCCCGCGGAAUAAAGGGCAGGAAACAUCAUCACACACAAGGCACUCACCGGGCCGGGACGCGAGGAGGAGGCGGCGCGCAUGUCCGGCAGGAGGCGCUCGAACACGAGGUGGCUGCGGUACACCGACCCGGGCGGCGCCGCCGCCGGAGCCCGCGCCCGCCUGCCGCGCAUCGCGCCGCCGCCGCCGCCCAGGAAGACCACGAGCAUCGCCGCCGCGUACGCCAGCGCGAGGAGCAGCGCGGCGGCCUGCCGCCGGCGCCCAGACGGCACGCGCCCCUGUCGCCGCGCCGCGGCCUUCGCGGCUUCGCUGCCGCCGCGCAUCGAAGCCGCCGCGGGUGCUAUCACCGCGGAGGAGAGAGCCGGUGAUUAGCAACAGAGGGGAUCGUCGAUCACGCUGAAAAUUAAAAUUUCUGAAAGAUUUGGCAAAAUGGCACUAAAAUUUGCAUUUGACAAAAAUAAUUGGGUAUUCUUACUGGAGGCCCAUUAGGACAUUUCCAUCCAUGACUUCUUACUUAGGCCCAUUAGGACUCUCACCCACUUUGUUUUUACUUGCCCACCACAAUUUUUUAGGACAGUGAAACUGGGCCCCUACACAAAGGCCCAGGUGGUUUUGGUUUUCUGUGGGCUUCCAGAAUUCCGAGUUGACUCAGUUUAGCACCGCCCAUCGUUCUUGCGAAACUUCAUAAGUUGUGCCCAAUAUUAGGCUGUGGGCUCUUUUUUUUCGGAAGGUGCAAAAGGAAGAAAUUAAUUAUGCCCUAUAGAUACACAUGUACAGCUCUACAAUCAGGAACAGAUAAAUUUGCAAGGAAUAAUUACCUUCUUAAUCGCUGCUUUCUUUUGGCUGCAAAAUGUAUAUCCUAUUUUUUCGUGAGAUCUUCUACAUCCAUUCUCUGCUGGGACAGGUUGGCACCGAGCCCAAGACCAGCCCAUUUUCUCCUACUGAUCAGCUUAAUUUGGCGCCAAAUUAAUACCCUGCCUUAUCUUCUGAUGAAUGUUGGGAAGGAAAAUUCCAGAGAAUUAAGAGGGGUCUACUGGAGAUGAUAUGUUGAUUUUCAGAAUUAAGAUUUGCCCUUCAACUAGAGGACCAAAAAUUGGCUAUAAAUUAAAGACUCCGAAAUAUGUAGUACGCGUGUAAUUAUUAUUUUUUAUCAUCCUAUCUACAUUUUUCUAGUAAUUUUGUGAAUGGGGGCCUCUGCUCAAGCAGAACUCAAAACUUAGCCAGAAUUCAAAUGGGGCUUCCGGUCGGGCCCUUUGGUGGCAGAAUUGAAAACCCAGUUUUUUGGCUUCGCGCCAAGAUUUCCUUUUUUUUUAAAUCGAGACCAGAAACAAUGAAAUAGAUCACACAUGCGUCUGACCAGUUCACCCGAGAUCUCAACCGUUAAAAUAAACGAUGCACAAUAUGUUUGAACAUAAACCUUGGUGGCAACACGAUCCGCAAACUGACACUUUUUUUUUAUUGUCACGACACACCUUUUACAUGGAAACUAAUGGAAAUUAAGCACCCUCCACGGGAGUGUCGGAGGCCUUCAUGAAUCAUCGUUGUCAUCAUCAUCAUUGCCUUCAUCCUUGUGAAACUUCAUCACUGCACCCAAUAUCGGGUUCAGCGCAGUCCUGGCUCUCUUCUUCUUCUUCUUUUGCUUCUUCUGCAGAAUCUGCAAAGAUAAGAACUUAAUUAGACCCCAUACACACAUGUACAGCUCUGAAAUCUUAUCUUGGAACAACUAAAGUUGCAAUGAAUCGGUGGAACAUACAAAAGGUUAGCUUAGUUACCUUUUUAAUCGCUGCUUUCUGUUGGCUGGAAAAUGCAUCCUUGUUUUGCUUGGCAUACUCCUUUAACUCCUCCAAAUCCAUUGCCUCCAUCCUUGCCAGCUGCCAACAAAAUCAUCAUGUAUGUACCCACAAUAAAAUAGCAUUGCGAAACGCAGGGAGUGCAAAAUCGACACCGUCGGUGGAAUAAAAAGAAAAAACAUCAACAUCAACUUAUAUGUCAGGAUGAGUUGCCAUUUACCCAUGAACUGAAUUCCUCUGCUUGCCUCGUCGUGUUGUCAUCACCAGGUUCCUUGUCAUUAUUCCCUCGACCCAUAUCAACUACAGAAUGAUCACUGAUUAGGUUAAGGACUUGCAAUUCUGGAAAUGGAAAUUUUGUAACUUGAAGGACCUGAAGACUGGUCAGGCCUAUUUAUAGGGGGGCUUCACCACCAGAUUAGUCCCUCACAUUCUUUCAUAUUAUAUAUUUUUGACAGGAAAAAGGAUAUUAAUUAAGGAACAAGCCACAUUGACCAUUACUUGCUAGAACAUGUAUACCAUAAUGUGGAGGCUCUCACUGAAUUUUAGGAGGCAGUUUACAUGGAUUUCUUAUUGUACACCACAAAGCUAAUAACAGAUGCUUGAUACAAGGAGGUUCACAUGGCAUUUUUGACGACCUGAAUCUUACAUCUGCAAGAUUGGUUCUUUGCGUGUUGAUUUCUUUGUGAUGAACUCAAGAAGAUAGAUAGCUAGAUCACACUUUUUGCUUAGGGUAUGGACCUUUUCCUUCACACCUCUUAUUCUCCAUAUUUUCUGUAAGUAACUGCUGUUUUGUAUUUGGAAAAGGUCAUGCAUACUUCAUAGCUUGCGUCACUCAUAUAGAUAGUUAGGAAUAGAUCCACCAUGAAAAAUGUUUUCAUAAUUUAUUUAUUUGGUAUAUAGAUGUUGGUAUUUUAUCAAUAAACAUGAUCAAACUUUUCAAAAAAUUAACUUAGAACAAAACUUAUAUGUUCUAUUUUAUGGAAAGGAGGCAGUAACUAAUUUAUUGCCAGAAAGGCUCUAGAACCCGAUCAAAAAAUGAAGCACUAGUAGUAUACGGUAUGCGUGCCAUUAACUAAACAUUGAAUCGUACUUCCUUUUCAGUUUAGAGUUGAUUGUGCUACUUAAUUGACUACUUACUUGCUGCCAAGUCUCAAUAACGUCAUAAGCAUCUUCAAAUGUUGCAAACGCUACGUAUCAAAAGGAAGAUUAACUGUAAAGGUGGCGUUAUCAUAUAUCAUUUGGAGGGAAGUGAGUAACCAAAGGUGGCGUUUCUUUUCAACUCACGUAUAUCUUUUUCCUCCUUAAUUUCUGCAUAUAAUAAUUAACCGUAAAUACUAUCAAUAAAAAAGGCCGAAAGCUAUAUAUAGGUUACACGGUUUUGCUAUGUCUUGUGGAAGUUGCCAAUUGUUUUGGUUUUGUUUGCAUGGAUAAUUUGAAUUGUGGAAGUCAAUAAAUUGUAUCCAAAGUUUUACUUUUGACAAUAUAUAAUUGUAUCCAAAGUUUAAUGUUGACAAUAAUUGUGUCCAGAGUUAGUCUUGUAAUUAUUAGGAAUAGCAGCAAACAGUGGGCAAAAGUUAGAGAAAUCCUCUACUGUGAAGUCUGAUAUAUCUUGGUGCAAAAGAAAUACAGGAGAUUUGCCAUGAGUUUUUAUAAAACCCAAGGAACUCAAUAUACUAUGGUAGUACUUCUGAGACAAAUCUACGGUCACAUGAUCCGAGUAUUUGAUCAAUAUUUCAAAGAAUAUCAGUAUGUUGACCAGUUUACUGCACCAAUGGAAAAAAUAACCGGAGGAGGUAUAUUUCUCACCAUGAAUGUUCAGAGUGAGAAUAAUUAUCCCUAUACGGUACAUACCGGUAUAUUGCGCUAUAUAUCUUAUUUUUUACCGGAAAUCAUAGUACUGUCUCGUAGCCAUAAGAUAAAACAAAGUAGACAUAACAAAAAGAUGGAAUUAAAGAAGAACCUUGCAUGUGUCGCCUUUGACUCCUUCUAGGCUCGCCAGUCACACCAACAUCAUCAGAACACAUAGUUUUUGCCAUGCAAACUGUGAGGAUACUAAGAUAUAGAGUGGACUUAAACAUGUUAUAGCACAUGUAAGACUAAGAGUAUAGAGGGCCGGGCUUGGCUCGGCUCGACUCAUGCUUAUAUAGACGAGGCCGGGUUGAUUCAGGGAUCCAUAUCAGAAUUCCGGCGUGAUAAGCGCGACGGUUAUUAUUUGCCAAUAGUUUCAAGCGACCGAUCACGUGAAGGUGUAUGUGUCGUAUCUUUCCUUUUUUUUCUUGACGACAUAUAACAUACGCCACAAUUAAGUAAUUACUGUCUUCUUCUUGAUUUAGAUACAGAGUUAUGUGAUAAAGAAAAAAAAUAUCAUUUCGAAGAGGACACAUUGAACAUAAGUUAUAUAUCUUGGGUAAUACAUAGUAGUAUAGUGUUUUCAUAGUGAAUAUUAUUUUCAUUUUCACAAUUUAACGGUAUAAAAUCUAAAAUUUAUAGUACAUAUUACUGGUCUAAUUGUUGGUCAAAGUUCGACCUCGAAAUGCAUGUGUGUCAUUCUUUGUGAAAAGGAGCGAGCAGUUGGCUAAGGUUUUAGCAUUUGAGUGAAGUGAACACCCAUUUCCCACCCUAUUUCCAUAUCCCAUCUCCAACACAAGUCCAACAGGCUAUUGUAAAAUGAAACGUAUCAAGGUGGAAGCUCAGAUGGUGAAAGACUAUUUGUUGAAAACCAAAAUAGAUGCCACAUGGUAUGGAUUUUUUACCCCUUUUUCCUUACAGUGUAGUCACAUAUACAAUCUCGCUUCAGCUACGACUAGAUCUUGUUAAUUGACUGAUACAACAAAAGCGUACCAUUCAUUUUAACCAGAAUGAUGUCAUUUAGUUAAAUUCCAUAAAAAUAUAUUAUCUUCAUUGGACUAACUUAUUUGAUUUAAUGUUAAUGCUCAACUUCAUUCCUAUAUGGACGAGAAACUUCAUGGAAAUUACAUAAAAAUAUCAAUCUUGCAUACGUGUUGGUUAGAAUGAUGUUUGAUUGCCACUUGCCUCACAUUAAAUUGACAACACACACACAUUUUUAUCGAUAACCCAAAAUGACAGUUGCAACAGCCAUGGAAAGUGCAACAGAUGCUGCUCUGGACUACAUCAAAUGGAGUUGGAAUGUUGAGUUUAACUGUUGAAGCUGUGAUCCAAAUUCUCAAGAGGGUGUUUCCCAAGACCGGAACUUCCGGUCUACUUCCGGUGGGGCGGAACUUUCACCCAACAUCCGGCUCACCUCCGUGAUGCUACUGGAACUUCGCGUGAAGACUGCGAAGGUUGGUCCGGAACUUCCGGGGGUCCGGAACUUCCGGCACUAACCCCGGAACUUCUGGGGUCCCCGAUACGGAUCUGUUUUGCCCUAAUUCUCCUGCUAUAUAUACCCCUUGUAAGCCGCCGUUUCGGGAAGAGUUGUUUUUCGUGAAAUCUCCCGGGCGUUGUAAACACUCCCCAUAUAGUGAAGUUUCGCUGGCUGGCGUCUGUGGUUUUUCCCUCUCGUUGUUUGAAAGGGUUUUCCACGGUAAAUCCGUGUGUCCUAGUGCUGUGAUUUCAUCUUCGUUCUUCAUUCUUGCUUGUCACGUUCAUAACAAGUGGUAUCAGAGCCCUAGGUUCCGCCUAGGGUUUGCGACAUGUCUACCUUGAAGUUCGAUAUGCUGCAGCUGGACUACACCACACGAUUCUCGUUGUGGCAAGUGAAGAUAUGGGCGAUUCUCGCCCAAACUUCAAAUCUGGAUGAAGCGCUUGAUUCCUUCAGCAAGAAGGAUGCAAAGGAGUGGACUGCCGAAGAGAAACACAAAGAUCAUGGCUUUGUCUUUGAUUCAACUUCAUCUAUCCAAUAAUAUUUUGCAGUAAGUGUUGGAGGAGAAAUCCGCAGCAACCUUGUGGCUGAAACUGGAAUCGAUCUGCAUGUCUAAAGAUCUAGCCAGUAAGAUGCAUGUAAAGAUGAAGUUGUUCACCCAUAAGUUGCAAGAAGGUGGAUCGUUAAUAUCUCAUAUAACUGUUUUUCAAGAGAUAGUUUCUGACUUGCAAGCUUUGGAGGUUAAGUAUGAUGAAGAGGAUUUAGCCAUCUUACUCUUAGUCUUGUUGCCUAGUUACUAUACAAAUUUCCACGAUUCAAUUCUUUACAGCCAUGACUCUCUAACCCUUGUUGAGGUUUUAGAGGGAUUUAGACAAAAAGAGAUGAAGUCCAUGGUGCAGGCCGAUGGGUCGCCGUCAAAGGCUGAAGCUCUGCAGGCUCAUGGCAGGAACGAGCAGAGAAAUAACAACUAUGACAACCGAGAUAAGAGCCGGGACGGAAAUGCUCGUUCAAAGUCCUGAGGAAAAGAUAAGUUCUGCAGGUAUUGUAAGAAAAAUAAUCAUGUUAUUGAGGAUUUUUAUAAACUCCAGAACAAGGAGAAAAGGAACGGUACCUACAAACCUAAAGACAAAUCCAAUGGUAAUGGUAAGGCCGCUGUCGUUUCUACCGACAACUCUGAGGGUGAAUCCCUCGCUGUUCUUGCUCCUUGUGCUUCCCGUGAUGAUGAAUGGAUUCUUGAUACAUCAUGUUCCUUUCAUAUUUGUUGUAACAAGGAUUGGUUCAGUUCUUAUGAGUCUGUGCAGACUGGAGAUUUUGUGCGUGUGGGCAAUGACAAACCUUGUCAUAUUGUUGGCGUUUGGUCUGUUCAGAUCAAGACCCAUGAUGGCAUGACACGCACGUUGAAAGAGAUGAAGCACAUACCAAGCAUGGCUAGAAAUUUGAUCUCGCUUAGUGCCAUGGAUUGUGAUGGGUAUAAGUACGCCGGAGGGUGUAGACUUGUGAAGGUAUCUAGAGGUUCUCUCAUUCACAUGAUAGGUGAUAUGAAUUCUGCCAAAUUAUAUGUUCUUAGAGGUAUGUAGCACUUGGCCUGGUUUUGCUGCUGCUGUACACCUAAUGAUUCUGAUGAUUGUGCUAAAACGAAUAUGUGGCAUAUGUGUCUUGGGCAUAUGAGUGAACAUGGGAUGGCAAAGUUGGUCAAGAGAGAGCUGAUCGAUGGGUGCAACUUGAGUAAGCUUGAAUUUUGUGAACACUGCGUUUAUGGUAAGCACAAAAGGGUUAAGUUCAUUUCUUCCGUUCAUACCACCAAAGGCAUAUUAGAUUAUGUGCAUGCUGAUGUUUGGGGACCUUCCCGUAAGACUUAUAUUGGUGGUGAUAAUUCCAUGCUUACCAUUAUUGAUGAUUACUCAAGAAAAGUUUAGCCUUAUUUUUUGAAACAUAAAUCUGAUGUUUUCGGUGCGUUCGAGAAGUGGAAAGCUAUGGUAGAAAAGCAAAUUGAAAGGAAGGUAAAAAAUUUGCAUACUGAUAAUAGUGGUGAAUUUGUUUCUGAUGAGUUUGAGGAUGUGAAAUCAUAGGUGAUGUGUAACAUUGGCAAGUGUUUUGGAUGAAACAUUGAUGUGGAUAUUUUGGAUAAUAUGGAUACUUAUGUGAUGACAUGUAUCUUGUUUGGACUUAGUGCUUUACUAGUGGUGUGUUGAUCCAUUAGUUUCUUAUGUGAAAAACAUGGCGUGAGUUGUGUGGAACUUACCCUGAGUCAAGUCAUGGAUUUGUGCUCGUACUGGUUAUUUAUGUGUUCACUUUCAGGUGUUGCCGGAGCUAGAGGAACAUGGUCGAUGACGGGAUCGAGGGACGAACCUUGGGAGAAGCUGAGGUCAAGGAUCAAGGUCAUACGGGAGGUUCGUGCGAAGGAACAAUGGAAGUGAAAGAUGAUCCGGAAGGGCACCGGUUUGUCGUACGUUGUUUAUACCCGAGAUGUACGGUAUUGGAGAUAUUCGACACGUGAUGGUCGAGUUUUGAAGACAUCACAAGAAGAGUUGAUGGCAUGGAGUGUCAUCGACGUGAAGACAUGUAGGUCCAGCCGUGGCUGGAUGAGAGCUGUUUAAAGAUUAAAGAGUAGCGUCAUCAAGAUGACGUCCGAUGGAAAAGUGGUUCACAUGAAAGUUGUGCGCGUCGUCUGUGGGCCCCACGGGCAGAAUAACCACCGGAACCAAAGAGUUCGUGUUGGAUUCGGACUCGGUUUAGGGUCGCGAAUUUUCCCUUGUAAAUAGAGAACGUCCUAGUUAGGGUUUUAGUAACGAUGUGAGGGAAUUCAGAGGUUUGAAUCUAGAUCAAUUCUUUUAGAGUUCUUGGAUGCAUGGUUGCAUUUUUUGUAAUCGAUCAACAUCGUUGCAAUAAAGAGAUUCGUUGGCGGUGUCAUCUCUGUUCUUCUCGGAUCUUCGUGGAUUCUUCGUGUUAGAUCUUUCUAACACUUUGCCGCAAAUUUAUCACGAGUUCAUAAUACUUUGCUGCAGGUUUACCACGAGAUCAAGGAAAGAUCACGAUUACUUCAUCUUUGUUGUUAUUCCUCAAAAUCGAUUAUAGAUUAAUUCUCGUAACUUUCUAUCAGUUGUUACUGAUUUGAUCAUAUCUUUUGAUUGGUAAGUCCAAUUGAGCUGAUUCUUGCUGCGUUCGUUAGAUAAUUUCAAUAGCUUUCUUUUGCAUACUCAUACGUAUUUUUUGGUUCAUCCAAUCAAAAGUUACAGCUGUUUUACUAUCACGGACAGAAAGGUGAUUUAGGGUUUGAAUUUUCGGGAAAAUUUUUAAUUUGCUUCUGCCCAAUCAUUCCCCCCCCCCCCCCCUCUAAUUGCCUAUCUCGAUCUCACAGAGGAGUUUUGCAGCAACGAUGGUGUUGUUAGGCACUACACGGUUGCCCGUACUCCACAGCAAAAUGACGUGGCUGAACGCAUGAAUAGAACCAUCAUCUUGAGGGCCCCUUGCAUGCUGUCCAAUGCAGGUUUGGGCAGUCGUUUUUGGGCUGAGGCAGCUUCCACCACAUGCUACCUCAUAAAUAGGUCACCUUCUAUUCCACUUGACAAGAAAACUCUCAUUGAGGUAUGGUCUGGUAAACCUGCUGAUUAUUCACAAUUGAGAGUUUUCGGUUGCACCGGUUAUGCUCACGUUGAUAAUGGAAAGCUAAAACCUAGAGUUGUUAAGUGCAUGUUUCUUGGCUAUGGUUCUGGAGUUAAAGCUUAUAGGUUGUGGAAUCCUGAAGCAAAAAAGAUUUUGCUGAGCAGGAAUGUUGUCUUUAAUGAAAAAGUUAUGUAUCAUGAUAUUUUGUCCACUGAUGCCUCUCGCAUUGAAGAGGAGAGACUUAGAGUGCAGGUGGAGCACGUUGAUGAAAUUGUUGACAACGAUGAUGCUCAGGUUGAUAAUGGUAAUGAUGAUGGGAACAAUGAUGAUAAUAAUGAUGAUAUUGUUCCACCCUCACCACCUGUUUUGCAGCAACUCACACGGUCUAUUGCAGCUGAUCGUCCGAAGAGAAAUAAAGGUCCUCGCCCACGUUUAAUUGAAGAGUGUGAUUUUGUUUAUUAUGCUUUGAGUUGUGCAGAACAAGUGGAGCAUGAUAGUGAACCGGCCACAUAUAAUGAAGCAGUUGUUUCCGGCGAACGUGUGAAGUGGUUGUCUGCCAUGCAAGAGGAGAUGCAAUCUCUUGAGAAGAAUGGCACAUGGGAUGUUGUGCCCUUGCCUAAACAAAAGAAGGCCGUUCGCUGCAAGUGGAUCUUCAAGAGAAAGGAGGGUUUGUCUCCUAAUGAGCAUAUGAGGUUUAAGGCAAGGUUAUGGCAAAAGGUUUCAGUCAAAUGCCACGUAUUGAUUACAAUGAUGUGUUCUCUCCAGUGGUAAAGCAUAGUUCAAUUCGUACUUUCUUUGGUAUUGUUGGUAUGCAUGAUCUUGAGCUUGAGUAGUUAGAUGUGAAGACUGCAUUUUUGCAUGGAGAGCUUGAGGAGGAAAUAACAUGGACCAACCUGAAGGGUUCAUAGUUCCUGGUAAAGAGGAGUUUGUUUUUAAGUUGAAGAAGUCAUUUUAUGGUUUGAAGCAAUCUUCUAGACAGUGGUAGAAAAGGUUCGAUUCAUUUAUGAUCUCACGUGGUUUUAGUAGAUCUCAAAAUGACGGUGUGUCUACAUUAAAUUUGUUGAUGGAUCAUCUAUAUACUUGCUGUUAUAUGUUGAUGAUAUAUUAAUUGCUGCCAAGAGCAUGAAAGUAAUCAGUACUUAGAAGGCACAACUAAGUAGUGAAUUUGAGAUGAAGGAUCUUGGUGCUGGUAAGAAAAUCCUAGGUAUGGAAAUUAAGAAGGACAGAAAAUCUAGAUUGCUAUUUCUUAGUCAGCAAAGUUACAUUGAGAAAGUUCUUCAUCGUUUUAAUAUGCAUGAUGCAAAGUGUGUUAGUACUCCUAUUGCUUCUCAUUUCAAGUUGUCAGCGUUGCAAUGUGCUACUUUUGAUGAAGAUCCUGAGUAUAUGUCACGAGUGUUGGGAAUAUGCCCUAGAGGCAAUCAUGUAUGAUGUAAUUCCCAAUGUAUUCAUAAAUAUUAUUAAGUUGUCCUUGUUUGAACAUCUGAUAUGUAUCAUUGAAUAUGUGAUUUGAUUGUGGAACUAUGUAUUCAUGUUGUUCAUACUAAAUUGUCCUUAGUCAUUGAGGUUGUGCUGGACACAUAACCUAGACUAAUGUGAAAGUUGGCUGAUGACUCGGUUCCACUUGUCAUGGGCAUGGUGAUGUCAUUUCAGUUUACACGGACUCGGCUAAAGAGCUUAGCGAGUCGGACUGACCCAUAUUGAGAUGCAACGAGUAGGUCGUCAUUUGCAUGUCUCAAUCAAUGUAAUCCUUAGACCUGAGGUUAUCGCACAAUCCGAGUUGUGGAUCACCAACUUAGGUUCUGUCAAACGUUCUUCCGUAACAGGGCAGUUAUAAAGGCAGAGUUCGGGUUGACUGAGAAUCAAGCUGUGUGAUGUGGAUAACCAAGAUGGGAUUUUGCCCCUCCGACUGGAGAGAUAUUCUCUGGGCCCUCUCGAGUGAUAUGAUUCGGGAAGCAUGGCCAUGCGCGACUUGGUUAACUGUUAACCGGGUCGAUCAACUAAGAGUUAGUCGGAUGAAUCGUAUAUCACAGAUCGAGAAGAGAGUUGAACUAUUAAAGGGAUGACGAUUAAUCGCCUAUAGUUCGACAAGGUAUAUCGUGAGGCAAAAGGGACUAAGACGUAUGUCACAUUGGAAGGUACGUCGUCAUGACUCGAUGGUACUUGGGAGUCGACACGUUCUGCUAGGAGCCGCUACCGAUCGAUCGAUUGUGAGUCGGACUCCAAUCGUGUCCAAGUCGCCAUGAGCCUGCGGGGUCACACACUUAAGAGCGGGAGCAAGUAUUUGGUCGGGUUGGACCCGAACUGGAAUUGGGCUGACAAUGCGAGUUGGACUCGCAGGGUGGAUGGGCCACAAGGCUUGGAGCCCACUUCCACUCGAUAUAUAAGCAGGGGCGUGGGGAUGCCUAAGGGGCACGGUCUUUCCACUCUCAUGCGUUGAGAACCCUAGCCCGAUUCAGUUCAACUGUCACACCGGACCUAGCAGUCCGCCGCCGGAGCUCCUCCUCGCACGUGUGGAUACCGGCAAAGGUGCUGUACGUUCAGCACUUCGACGAUCGCGGGAUCGGAUCGGCUGGAUCGGAUCGAGGGACUGCACUGCAUCAAGGCGCUGCAUCAAUAAUCCGCAACUGUGCGUCUAGUGGUAAUCCUCGUGGCCUUCUACCUCGGCUAGAUCUUGGGAGUUCGCGUAGGAAAAGUUUUUGUUUAUCUCUACGUGCCCCUUCAACGAGUUCCCUAUUCUAGUGUUGUUGGUUCCGUGAUGUAUGACAUGGUUUGUUCACGUACUGAUUUAUCACAUGCUAUGAGUUUGGUCAGUCGUUACAUGGCUAAUCCCGGUAAAGAACAUUGGAAAGCUGUUCAGUGGAUUUUCAGGUACCUCCGUGGCACAUCAAAUGCUUGCUUGAAGUUUGGCAAGACUGAUGAGGGACUCGCUACCUAUGUGGAUUCAGAUUUUGCUGCCGACUUGAAUAACAGUAGAUCCCUCACAGGUUAUGUGUUCACGAUAGAUGGAUGUGAUGUGCAUUGAAGGCAACACUGCAACCAGUUGUUGCUCAAUUUACAACCGAAGCAGAAUAUAUGGCUAUUGCUAAAGUUUGCAAAGAGUUUGUCUGGUUGAAAGGUUUAUAUGCUGAGCUUUGUCAAGAUGUUUCUUGCAUUAACAUGUUUUGUAAUAGUCAAAGUGCUAUUUACCUUACUAAAGAUCAGAUGCUCCAUGAGAGAAUCAAGCACAUUGAUGUCAAGUACCAUUUUGUUCGCGACGUUGUUGCACAAGGUAAAUUGAAGGUAUGCAAGAUCAACACUCAUUAUAAUCCUGCUGAUAUGAUGACAAAGCUUGUUCCUCUUGCUAAGGUUGAGCUAUGCUCAAGCUUAGCUGAUAUAACUGUUUAGCCCCUAGUGGAUGUUGGCACCGAAAGUGUUUUCUUUGUUGAUUCAGGAGUUGUUGAUGUUCAUGCUACAAGGAGAAUUUGUCUUGAGGUGGAGUUUGUUGAAGUUGUGAUCCAAAUUCUCAAGAGGGUGUUUCCUGGGACCGGAACCGGAACUUCCGGUGGGGCAUAACUUCCACCCAACAUCCGGCUCAUCUCCGUGAUGCUACUGGAAUUUCGCGUGAAGACUGCGGAGGUUGGUCCAGAACAAUCCCAGAACUUUCUGGGGUCCGGAACUUCCGGCCCUAACCCCGAAACUUCCGGGGUCCCAUAUACGGAUCUGUUUUGCCCUAAUUCUCCUGCUAUAUAUACCCCUUGUAAGCUGCUAUUUCGGGAAGAGUUGUUUUUCGUGAAAUCUCCCGGGCGUUGUAAACACUCCCCAUAUAGUGAAGUUUCGCUGGCUGGCGCCUGUGUUUUUUUCCUCUCGUUGUUUGAGAGGGUUUUCCAUGUUAAAUCCGUGUGUUCUAGUGCUAUGAUUUCUUCUUCGUUCUUCGUUCUUCGUUCUUGCUUGUCACGUUCAUAACAUUAAGAUCUUCAAUUAUUUUAAGGUUACCAUUUAGGAAGCAGAACUUCACACGCAGAACGGCUGGAAUCAAUUGAAAAUCAAUGGUGGUUAGAGCAGAUCCAGAGUUUGCAAACUGUACAGGAGUCAUAAAUCGAGCUCCUCAACAUACAUAUUACGAGGUACACUCCUAGAUACCAGGUUUAAAGAUAAACCAGCUAGCUUUAAAACCCAGUGAGGUUACGAGAGAAACAACAGAAGAAAUAUGAAGAAUUUACGGAGAAAACAGCAAGGGUUUUUGCUAAACGGACCAAGGCCCUAUUUGUUUGGGUUUUUGCUUCAGGUUUUGCUGCUUCCCUCCAGAAGCUGCAAGAAACAUCUCCGGACGUGCUUCUUAGCUUCAUGUGUAAACGGGAAAAGUGUUUUUUAAGAGAUAGAAGCAGCAAAAGCUGAAACAGAAUCCAAACAAACAGGGCCAAGCCCGACCUGGCUGGACUGGUGGGCCGUGCCCUGGCAUGCCUCCCGCCUUAGUAGACCGGUACGGCCCGUUUGGCAGCGGAGCGGGCCGUUGCCCAGCCCAGCUAGGCAGCUAUACACCCCUCCUUCUCGCUGCCGAGCGCCGCCCCAGUAGCCCCCUCGCUCCGUGGGCUCGUCUUCCUCCUCGCGCCAGCGCCGCCACCCCUCCCUCGCUCCCCAUCCCGCGGCUGCCCCCUAGCUCGUCUUCCUCCUCGCGCGACCGCCGCCACCGCAGCAGGUUGGUCUCCCCUUCGACUCUCUUGCUCCCGACCGUUUCUCCUCCCGUCACCCCCACGAACGGAUUCUGCCUUUUAGCUCCCCGUUUCAUCUUCCCCAGUUCGUAACAGAGGCAAAAAUCAAGCUAGGGCGGCCGCCCUACUGGGUCCUCCCGUGUGGUGUUGGUAUCUUGCAAGUUGGCAUGGUUUGUUGGGGACUUGCACCAUUCUGGCCUGUUUGGAAUGGGUGUCAUUUUUUUUAGUUCAACGGUGAACUAAACCCUGGCCACGCGACAAGAAUUGCAUCCGUUCCGAACAGGGCCUGAGCGAUAAUUUUAGUCUACUGCGACCUCUCUGAUCCAUUCUGUAUGAAUAUUUUUAUGUUUUGUGUUCCUUUUUGGGGGGUGCAAGUAAUGUUUGUGAUGCUUUCCUGCCGUAGUUGGCUCAUGUUUCUGAUGUGGUGGGCAGGUCGGAUUGAAGAAGAUGGAAGAGGUGGAGAAUUCCAGCAAGCGUAAAGCGUCCGAGCUGGAUUUGGAGGACGAUUCUGCCGCUGCUGCUGUUCCGGACGAGCAGCCGCCGCGGCCCGACUCGGCUGCCAAGCGCCCUAACCUCGCCCGGUCGUGCAUCCAUGAGGUCGCUGUCCCUACCGGCUACGAUUUGUCCAUGGAUGAGGCUGUACAUGGGACCCUUUCCAACCCUGCAUUUAAUGGGGAGAUGGCCAAGACGUACCCAUUUCAGCUCGACCCUUUCCAGAGUGUUUCGAUCGCGUGCUUGGAGCGGAAUGAAUCUGUCUUGGUCUCAGCUCACACCUCCGCGGGGAAGACGGCCAUCGCUGAGUACGCCAUUGCAAUGUCGUUCAGAGACAAGCAGAGGGUUAUAUACACCUCUCCGUUGAAGGCCCUGAGCAAUCAGAAGUACAGGGAGCUUAGUCAGGAGUUUUCUGAUGUCGGUUUGAUGACCGGUGAUGUCACGCUCCAGCCAAAUGCUACUUGCCUGGUCAUGACUACAGAAAUCCUGAGGGCGAUGCUUUAUAGGGGCUCUGAGGUGAUCAAGGAAGUCGGUUGGGUUAUAUUUGAUGAGAUCCACUACAUGAAGGAUCGUGAGAGAGGCGUUGUGUGGGAAGAGAGUAUAGUUUUCCUGCCCACUGCAAUCAAGAUGGUCUUUCUUUCUGCUACUAUGUCAAAUGCAACAGAGUUUGCGGAGUGGAUUUGCAACCUGCACAAGCAGCCUUGUCACGUGGUGUACACAGACUUCAGGCCGACACCGUUACAGCACUACGUAUUCCCGAUAGGCGGGUCUGGUCUCUAUCUUGUAGUAGAUGAAAAUGGUCAGUUCAGGGAGGAUAAUUUUCUAAAGCUGCAAGACACAUUUGCAAAGCAACCUAGUCAACAAGAUGGUAGGAAUGGUGGUGGACCUAAAGCCAGUGGUCGAAUAGCAAAAGGUGGAAAGGCAUCUGGAACUUCUGACAUAUACAGGAUUGUCAAGGUAGGCAAACACUGGCAUAUUUUAGUGCAAGAUCUAUUCUUGCCAUAUUGUGCUUUCUGAAGUUACCAACAACAAACGGUUUAUGCUUUCUUCAACAUGUAUGCAUAUUUUGUUUACAAUAGUUAACAUCUGCAUGUGUUGAUGGAAUUUGAGUAGAGUUUGAAUACAGUAUGAGUAGAGUGACUAUAUGUAUGUGCUUGUGCUAAUUACUAUUUGAGUAUAAUUUGUGAUGCUAUGCAUACAAAUGGAUUUGUGCACCUGCUAAGAUCAUAAUAUCAAAUCCUUUCUUCUCUAGGAUGAGAAAUUUUGAAGAAAAAUAAUUUAACUAAAUGGAAUGUUGUCCACUAAAUCCAUGAUGGUUCAGUUUGUUAAUAUGUUUCUAAUCAAAUGAGAGAUGUUAUACUUAAUUUGCUUCGAGUCUGAUUAUGUGUAGAAUUGGAUUACAUGUAGAAUUUGAUUCCUUAAUUGCUACUAUUAUGUUUUGAUCAUCUUGAAAUAUAGUUCUAUUUUGUAAUAUUGUUCAUUACUGGGUUAGAAGACCAGGCCACAGUUCACGCCUCACUAGUAGAUAUUCACUGUUCAGUGUUUUUGAUGCCUUGUACUUCAUUCAAUUUCUUCCUGUAAUAUUCCUGUUUAAUUUUGAUGAACACUAAUUUGCAGAUGAUUAUGGAGCGCAAGUUUCAACCAGUCAUAAUUUUCAGCUUUAGUAGAAGAGAAUGUGAACAUCAUGCUAUGUCGAUGUCAAAACUUGAUUUCAACACGGAAGAAGAAAAGGAUAACAUCGAGCAGGUUUUCCGUAGUGCUAUUUUCUGUUUAAGCGAGGAAGAUAGAGGUUUGCCUGCUAUAGAGUUGAUGUUGCCUCUUCUUAAACGAGGUAUUGCAGUACACCAUUCAGGACUGCUUCCAUUAAUUAAGGAGCUGGUAGAACUGCUCUUCCAAGAAGGUCUUGUGAAAGCUCUCUUUGCUACUGAAACGGUGUGCCCUUUAACCUGAUUUUCGCAUUUUAACCUUGAACUACAAUUUGGAGUUACAUUUCUCAAAGGGUAGUUUUUGAAAUUUGACUUGGAAAGCCAGAUAAUUAUUUCUUUAUAAUUUCUGGAAUACAUCUUACACCUUUUGUAUCAGCAUUUGAUUUAUACAUGAUUAUCUUUCCUCAGUUUGCCAUGGGGCUGAACAUGCCUGCAAAAACAGUUGUCUUCACUUCUGUUAAAAAAUGGGAUGGUGAUAGUAACCGUUAUAUUGCUUCCGGAGAAUAUAUUCAGGUAAAUACUUUAUAUAUGAAGUGCAAGUCAUGCAUGUAUGUAGAGUUAGUAGGUGGAAUAGAAUGUAGAAGCCCUUUGUACUAAAAUUUUGUAUUCAUCGUAGAUGAGUGGAAGAGCUGGUCGACGUGGCAAGGAUGAGCGUGGCAUUUGUGUUAUAAUGAUAGAUGAGAAGGUAAGGCUGUGUAGUCUUCUGUAGUCUUCUGUUGUUUUUUUAUAUAGCAUGGUGAUCGUGCAAAGAGGUUUAGUUUGUCUAUGUUGACUAAGUAAGCCUAAUAGACUCAUUUUAAAAGUACAAUCCAGACUCUACAAUUGUCUUCUUGGGUUGAUUUAGGAUAAUGAAAUGUGACACUGAUUAUUGCUUUAUUUUUGUGUGAUGCAAAUGGUAUUAACUUGAAGUCAUGGUUCUAAUUGCGCUAGAUGUUUAUCAGUGUUAAUAUUUAAAUUAUCACAGUUUCAUCGGUUAUAGGUAUGCAAUGACAUGUAUGACUAACUGAAGUCAUUAUGAGCUAAGAUAUGUUUCAGAUUAUUGAGCCUUUAAAUUCAAAAGAUACUUGAGCUGUUCUUAGUAGCUAUUUUGAGAAUUGUUUCAUUCUGUUGAAGUUUUCCUCCCAAGAGAUUUUGUUCCACAUUCAUGCUUGAAUUUGCUUUUCACGUAAAGAACUUAGCUUUAAAUGGUUCUUAUGCAAACUUAAUUUGUUCUUGAGUUCUUAGUAAUUGUGUUAACAUUCAUUUUGUGAUAUUCAAGCUGCCCUCCAUGAUUUUGAUUUGUUCCCUACUCCUGCUUGAAUUUGCUUGGCAUGUUAAGAUUUACUUAAUACACAAUGGUUUUUAUGCAACUUAGGUACACUGAGAUUUUGUUGUAUGCUCAUGUGAUUCCUUUAGUUUGACUUUUGGUCAUUGGUCUCAACACAAUGAAAUUUUGCAGAUGGAAAUGAGUGUUAUUAAAGAUAUGGUGUUAGGUAAACCAGCACCUCUUAUCAGUACUUUCCGACUGAGCUAUUACACUAUUCUAAAUUUACUGAGUCGCGCGGAGGGCCAAUUUACUGCCGAGCAUGUGAUCCGGAAUUCAUUCCAUCAGUUCCAAUACGAAAAGGUUUCUUUCAGAAUGUCUUAUAAAUGUUUCUGACAUAUCUUUGACACUGUUAAAGAUUAGCGUCCCUUGUUUUUCAGGCAUUACCAGAAGUGGUUCAGAAGAUUACAAGGUUGGAAAAUGAAGCUACUUUGCUGGACUCUUCUGGAGAGGUAUGUUUUUUUAUUGUAGUAUCCUUUAGUGUGCUUCUUUUUUACUAACAAAUUUAACACAUUUUCCUGUACAGAAUGAUCUGGGUGAAUAUCACAAAUUAGGGCUUGAUAUAUCUGAACUUGAAAAGAAAAUCAUGUCUGAGAUGAUCAGACCAGAGAGAGCUUUGUUAUAUUUGGUUCCUGGAAGGCUGGUAUGUAACUGUUUUUCAUAGGUUCUGUUCUUGCUUGAGGAUGAUUACGUUCAUCAGUCAUCACCGUAUUUGACUAUUUGUGUGAUAAGAGCAUCUCCACUUGUCCUCCCUAUAUUUCAUCCGGCGCAUGGCCUUAUGGGGAGGCGCCGGCGCAACAAUUUGUUUGGGGUGGAACCGGCACCCAGCCGCACCCCCAAACAUCGCUCCCCCAAAUUUAGUUUGUCUCGCUGAUAGUGGUGGCCCGUGCUGCUUUUCAGCUUCAGCCGGCGCCCCUGCUAGCCCCCCUGUGAGUAGGGAGUGGAUUGGGGGCGCCAGCUAAAUUCUUGUGCCACGCCGGCUACUUUUUGGAUUUAGGGGAGUGGACUGGGUGGGUUUUUCAGCGCCGGCGCCCCCAUUUAGCGUUUGGGGGGCCUUUAGGGGGGGCGGCUGGAGAUGCUCUAAGAACAGCUAUGUAGCAGGAAUGCUGUAUUUAUUUCUGUUCAGUGUUCGUCAUUUUCUCUUACUGCACUGAGCAAUUUGCAUCAUGGCAGGUAAAAGUGAGGGAUGGUUCAACAGACUGGGGAUGGGGUGUGGUUGUAAAUGUGGUGAAGAAACCUCCAGCAUCUAGUACUCUCCCCCCAGCAUUAAGUGCAUCUCGUAGUAAUAGCUAUAUAGUGGACACCUUGCUUCACUGUUCUUCUAGUUCAAGCGAGAAUGGAUCACGUUCAAAGCCAUGCCCACCUCGCCCAGGGGAGAAGGGAGAAAUGCAUGUGGUGAGUUAAAGUUGAUGAACAAAGGGGUUUUAUUCUCGCGGCAUAUCUUUAGUUUUCUAGACUACCAUUUGAUGAUGGUCAUUUAAGGAUGACCAGAAAUCUUCUUUUGACUAAUGUUGAGAGGACUUUGCAGGUGCCUGUACCAUUACCGUUAGUAUCUGGUCUAAGCAGCGUUAGAAUCAACAUUCCUCCUGAUCUACGACCACCUGAAGCAAGACAAAAUAUACUUUUUGCAGUUCAAGAACUGGGAAAGCGUUAUCCCCAAGGGCUUCCGAAGCUACAUCCAAUUACGGUGAAAAAUCUUCUUACAUAAUGCCACUCUCUAGUUUUUGUUUUAGAGAGGCUGAAAUUUCAAAAAAAAAUAAAAAAAAUAAUUCAGGAACUAGUUCUACAUGUACAGAUCCCUUUAUGAUUGAUGCUGCUCCUCCUUUUUGCAUUUCUGCCUGUAAUAUUUAGUCGGUCCAGUUUCUCAGAGUAAUCUUUUCCAGAAAUAUAUCAGCAAGAAUCCUAAAGCAAUCUUUUGAAAUCCUGCAGUCAUUUUGAUUCUGAUAUAAUCUGAUUAUAAUUACUAGGACAUGGGUAUUGAAGAACCUGAAUUAGUUGACUUGGUUCAUAAACUUGAGGAUCUCGAGCAGAAACUAUGUUCUCAUCCACUUCAUAAGGUAUGCUUUGUUUUCCCCUUUAGACAAAUGUCCAAUCCCUGUUCUAUUUAACCGAUUUAUUUUGUGCUAUUUUGGUGUCACAGUCUGAUCAAAAUGAGCAGCAACUAUCAUGGUACCAAAGAAAAGCUGAGCUAAAUCAUGAAAUUCAACAACUGAAGUCAAAGAUGCGUGAUUCACAGGUUAGCUGAAUUUUUGCAUGGUAGGUCCCUUUUAGUCUGUCAAAUGUGCUCUUACACUCUCCUCUGUUCAGCUACAAAAAUUUAGGGAUGAACUUAAGAACCGGUCUCGCGUUCUCAAGAUGCUUGGUCACAUUGACGGGGAUGGUGUUCUUCAGUUAAAGGGACGUGCUGCCUGUUUAAUAGACACAGGGGAUGAGCUGCUUAUCACUGAACUUAUGUUUAAUGGUACCUGUUGAUAUGAUUUUCCGUGCUCACUUUUUUUUUGUUUACUUUAUAUUCAAUUGCAUUAAUGCAUUUAUGUGACUAGGUACAUUUAAUGAUCUUGAUCAUCAUCAAGUUGCUUCAGUUGUUAGCUGCUUUGUACCAUGUGAGAAGUCAAAUGAGCAAAUACGCCUGAGAAAUGAGCUGUCUAAGCCAAUGAUGCAACUGCAGGAGGCUGCAAGAAAAAUAGCUGAGGUGCAUACUUGUUUUAUCAUCACUAUUUUGCCGUUUCUCUGUAUUUGAUUGGGAUCUCUGAUUUCUCAUUCUUGAGUUAGGUACAACGAGAAUGCAAAUUGGACGUAAAUGUGGAGGAGUACGUUGAAUCAACUUGUAAACCCUACCUGAUGGACGUCAUAUACUGCUGGUCAAAGGUUGGUCAGCAGUAGCAAUUCCUGAAUCCUGAUAUUCAAGAUCUUUUUUUCUGUCCCUUUCGGACAUUUUCCCAGCAUCGAUACAUCUUAUUUUGAAUUAUGGGUUCUUAUAAUCUAUAAACGCCCAUCAGAUGCACUUAUAAAUAUAUAUUGGUACUGCUGCUGUUUAGUAUGUCAAUUCCGAAUUUAUUUAUUUUCUCACAGGGCGCCACCUUUGGAGAAGUGAUAGAAAUGACUGACAUUUUUGAAGGAAGCAUCAUAAGGCUUGUGAGGAGACUGGAUGAAUUUCUGAAUCAGGUAGACUAUCUGUAUUUAUUUUUAAACCUAUUCCAGCUGGUUUUUCCCACCACUAGUACCUAAUCACUAGGGCAACCAGAAUGUGAUGUCUGCCUUUGAUUAUCCCCUUUGCUCAAUGUUGCGAAUCAAAAAGGGACAAUGCUUCUAGAUAAAUGUCCGUUAAAGUGUCAAGGAACAUUAUCUCUCAGUGUGACAUAACUAAAUAUGGCGAACUAGAUGAAGUCUAGUUCUAGUGUCAACAACAAUUCAUGGCCCAACUUCACUUGUUUUACUGCCUGAUUUCGUAACUUGCUUGGCAGUGUAAAUAAGUGUAACUUGUUCAAUAAUCUCUAGUUCAUUUAAUCUCUAGAAAGCACAUUGUGAUUGGCAUCCCCUUUGUUCUAUGCCUGUUCCCGCAUGCCAACCGCUUAUUUUUCCUGUCUCCCAAGUGCAUACAUAGUCCAUAAAAUUAAAUCCAUCUGGCUUCCUUUUCUGACCAAGCUAAUUCUGUGGAUCUGUUGCCAGCUAAAAGCUGCCGCUGAAGCUGUUGGGGAGGUCAACCUUGAGAACAAGUUUGGAUCGGCGAGCGAGAGCUUACGCCGGGGUAUCAUGUUUGCCAACUCGUUGUAUCUCUGACGAAUGGAGCUCCUCCAGCAGUUGUACUACCAUAUAUGUUAGCAAACCAAACGUAGUUCUCAUUUUUUGCCUUAUGGCAUGGCAUCGAAAUGUAACCCUUAUCUAUCAGAAUGUAGGGUGUAGCCUUGUACCCUGUUAACCCCCUAGGCAUCAACUGUUCCACCAGAAGACUGGAAGCCAUCUGUGCUAUGCACCAGCUUAUCUAUGUCCAAUACAUGUAUACAUCAGGUGGUGCUAGCAUUUUUGUAAUCGGCCCAAAAUGGCACGAAAGUUCUAUUACGCCUGCCUCAUUUUAGAGAUCAUUCAGGUUCAUAUAAGAUGAUGUGAUUCGGAGGGCUUGGAUAGUUGGAUGUGCUGUUAUGAUGUUAUCAGGCAGUUCUCUUUACUUUGCCACGGCAUCUUUUGACGGGAUCUAGUUAGGCAUGAUAUAGCAAGCAGCUAAAUUUAUUUUGCUUUCAAUACAAAGAUACCUGAUUCUAGACGGUUUAUCUUGUUACGAGGAACGGUUGUGUGUAAUCUUACACGGAGGCGUUGUGUGUGAUCUUACAUGGUUACUUCCUAGUUCCUACUAGGUUGUAUCUAAAGUCUUUUCUUGCAAUGGAAAAAUACGCAAAUCUUCAAUGUAAGAGCAAUUUUUUGUGUUAUCACAGCAGCUUAUAUGUUACUCCCUCCGUUUCAUAAUUUUUGUUGAAAUAUUACAUGUAUCUAGAUAUUUUUUAGGAAUAGAUACAUCCAUUUUUCGACAACUUUUAGACAAGAACGAUGGAACGGAGGGAAUACAAUCUAUAUUGCUAUAUCACCAAUUGCAUUUAGCUCUAGUACGCUCUUUAUUUUAAUUUUUACAAAAGAAAUACAAUAUGUGAAAUUUCCCAAAAAUAAUGGAAAACGAAACACAAUCUGAAUUUUCGUGGAUUCAGUGUAUUUCCACAUUGAUUUAUUUAAUUCUUCAAUUUGAGGUGCACUUUUAGAAACAAAAAACAAAGAGGUACAUAAUUUUUUUUUCUAUGGAAAUUUGCAGAUUCAUAGUGCGUCUUCGCAUGUGUGCACAGUUUCUGGUUCCUUUUUUUCAUUUACAGUGCACCUUUUGCAAACUUUCAGAAUAAAGAGCUAAACAUCUACCCCCUUGCCUGGCCAUGGAUUUUAUCACCCAAUUUUCACCCGUUUGCAAGUUUUGUGCUAUGAGUAGAGAACUUUAAAGCAGUCAACAGAAUAUACUAAAACCACCAGUGGUGUAACAAAUUUGUAAUUCAUCUUGCAAAACAUCAUAUACAUUCUGCAAUAGUGUUCGGAGCCUGAAAUAAAUUCAAAUAAGAACAUCUGAUGCUACAAAUCACACGGGAACAGAAACACGCUUCCCUUCUCUUUGAUACAGAUUAUUCUUUUCUAAAAUGUUACAGAGCUGAUGGACAAUCAUCGCUUUUCUUCACAGCAUCUUUACUACUCCCUCCGUCCAACAAAAGAUGUCUCAAGUUUGUGACUUAGUGUAUAGAUGCAUUCAAAUUUGAUGAAAGUUGAGACAUCCUUUGUUGGACGGAGGGAGUAGUACAUUCUUAUCUUCAACUUUACAAAGAAUGCCAUAUAAAUAAUCAGGAGCAAAACUGAUGACCCAUGGAUGCCAACAAAGUUGAGAAGUUACAUGUGUAGCUAGAUGAAUCGAGGAUUGUGUCCAGUUUCGCCACUUCUUGGCUUCUUGCGAUGCUGUCCAUGUACGGUUAACUAAGAAUUUUGGUGUGCCUAGUCAGCUGGUUCUAUUUACCAGCUGAUAGCAUCUUCUGAAGCUGGAUCACCUGCUGCUGCUGCUCAAUUGGCAGCGAACUCAGCUGCUCAGGUGUCAGUUGCAAGACUUGCUGCAGAAGAACUGAUUCGUCGUCGGGCGUGAGCUGUAGCAGAGUGAGAAUUAGAAUUGUGAUCACACGGAAAUUUUAGGUCCAGAAACCUUGUGUGCCAGUACAUUCAAUUCCACCAGAUGACGCUAAGUGUUUAGAUAGUCAAAAAAUUUGGAUGCUUACCCAGCAUCCAAGAAACAGAAAACCUGUAAACUGAAUUAAACAUCAAGGGGAUUACCUGAGGCGCUUCGUUCUCUGGUUGCUGAAAGUUAACAGCACCAGAACUGCAGCUCCCUGAUGGCCCACAAGGGACCACUACCUGUGAUGGAGCGGGAUAAACAGCAGCAUUAUUGUUUACAUUUCCAGAAGCUGAUGUUCCAUCCUCCAAUUUCCGUAAUUUUGAAGGAUGAGCUAACUCUGCCUGAUAACUAGUUCGAUCAGGCAAUCUAAUUUCCUUCAUGGGUAUCUCAGGCGCAGCAGCAACCUGCAACGUGACACUAAGUUAGCCAGUGUGGAAGUGUAAAAAAAAAGUUGUUCUGCAUGAACAGUAAAGUUAAAAGCGCAUCUUGUCUAUACACUUCAGUUAAUCUAUGGGCAUAAGAAAAUAUAGAUGCAUGGUUAAUAACUGUACAGUUUGGUGGUUCAAGUACAUAGUCUACGGGAGUUCCAUAUAUUAGAAGGCCUGAUUAAGAUAGUGCCAAAAAAUAGAAGACCUGAUUAAGACGAUUCAUCAGUCAUCACAAACUUUGGCUUGCUACUUAUGAAUGAAAAUAAGCUCCUUAUAUACGAAGAAAUACCUGGGAGAGAUGAGGAUUGGUCAAAGGUAGUUGCUGUACAUUAGUUGGCAUAACUUGUGGUCUAGGGUGCUGUGGCAAAAAUGGAGGCUGGACUUGCGAUAUCAAGCCUCCUGAGGUUGCAAGGGGUUGAGUAGGAACACUGGAAGAGGUGCUAAAGGGUUGAGACGAAAGCUGAUACUGGUGUCCAUGCGGAAAUAUUUUGAUUGGAGGCUGAGACGAAUGCUGAUACUGAGGAAAAUUAUGCAGUGGUGCAGUUGGUUCCUGUUUUGGAACAACUGGUAUCACAGCAUCUGGUUGCGGAAAUGAUUCAUUGAGGUGAGCAGAAGAUUGUGUCAAUGAGCUAGAGAGUUGUUGGUUCUUCGCCAUCUGCAUCUGCUAUUUCAGAAUACCUAGAUUAGUAUAUUGCAGAAUCCAAGAAGACAUCAGGUGCAUCAAGCUCAAAAGAAACAAGAAUAUACCAUCUGAGGUGUCACCAUCCCGAGCAUUAUUUGUGCCUGCAUUGCAACAAGGAAAAAGUUAUGAGGUUUUAAUCUUCCAUUCUAUGCUAGAAUCACAAUUGAGCAAUGAACAAGAGAAUUUCAAAACAAGCUCUUUCAUCGCAUCGUUGUAGAUUAGCAAAAAUGAAAUGGUAGUUGGUUAAACUUAUAUUGAAAAGGGUGAAUGAAAUGUCUAACAACAAACAGCACAAUAAAAAAUAAACAUUUGUCAACCCUGAACUCUAAAGCCAUUGAAAUGAAACUUUGAACUAUUGAAGCCGCCCACUUUUCCCCUCGAGCGGUUUCAUGAGUAAUUUUGUCUGACAUGGAUGCCUACUGUCAUGUCACUCCAUGCCAUCAUUUUUUUAACCUGUUUCUACAAAUUCUCUUCCAUUCUCUAGUAAUCUUUUGCGCAUGUUUUUAUUCAGAUAAUGAGGAUGUUUUAGAUAGUGUGUUGUGUUGUGUUUCUCUGUCAUGGCAUUGAAAUGCCAGUGACAUGGAGGACACAUCGCAUCCACGACACCCAAAACCACUUAUGAAACCCCAGAGGGUCAAAAGUGAACUAUUUCAAUAGUUUGAGGUUGCAAUUCAAACGUUUUUACAGUCUAGGGUUGAAAAGUGGACCUUGUCCCUAAAAUAUAGGCAACUUUGUUUAAAAGAACUCAUAUGAAUUCGACAACCUACAGAAUACUCUAGUAUAGAACCAAGUACACAAAUAACAAGAACAAAGAAUAAGUAAUUGAUUGAUUGCAUGAUCACUAUCAGCAAAAGCUAACCUGAAAUAGGGCCUUUGGAAGCUGUGGAAUUCCUUGCAGGAGUGCUUUGGCACGGUCCUUAUUUUGAGUAGUUAGGGUCUGUCACAAAGGAGGCAUCAACAAACUAAAAUUAGCCAUGGGUAAUUUAUUAUCUUCAGGGCAUUGAUAUUGAGACUUCAAGUUAACCUUCAACUCAGACAUGAAUUCAUACAACUGAUGUCUUGACAUCCUGGCCAGGUAGUGGGUAAGAGGGUCGUUUCCAAGUCCAUAUUGGACAGGUAAACCAUUUUGCACAUUUGCAGUUUGAGCUGCACCAAGAACACCAGCCAUCACAGAUGCAGCAUGUAUUGCUGGUGGAAGACCAACAGGCUGAUGAAGGCUGGUGUCUCCUACAACGGGAGUCGCAGUUGGCUGUUUCGGAGCAUCUACAGGAGGAGUCCAUCAAGACAUCAAUGUUAGCAUGCAAUGGCAUAAAAUCACAUUUGAAGUUUAAUGUAUACACAUAAACUACAUGAUCAAGAAAUUGCAACCAACCAACACAAGAUGCCAUUCCUGGUCCUCCACGACCCUGCAAUGCAUAAACAUAUGAAGAAUAAGUCAAAAGGCUUUUAUUGAGAAAUUUGAUUGGUUGAGAUUCCGUAAUGUGCAAGCAUCAAAUAAGAAUGAUCGCACUAACUCCAUUUCCAUGCUGAAGCUACUUAAUUCUAAUAAGUAAAGUUAGAACAUCUAGUGUCCUUCAUGUAGUUACAUAAUGCAAGAGUAUUUCACUAUGAUCUCUGGAGAAUUUAGAUAAAAAUUAGAAUCCCUGUGUAAAUAACUGUAUGAACCAAUCAACUGCAUCCAGUUGCAAAACUUUGAUACAUGUAUUCUUUUCUUGUGGAUGCACUCGACACCUUGGCAACAAAAACUGGCACGUACAUAUCAGCAUCAGUGACUGCUGCAGGUAGCAGAAAAUGGUGUAGCAAUUAUUUUAAGAGAAGAGGGAAUCUGAUGGUAACCCAAAACAGAACUGUAAGCACUUACACACACACACAGACACAUAAUAGUGCAAUUGGAUCAUUUCAGAAAUCAAUUCACUAAUAAUUCCAGCCCGUUUGCUGGCGCUCAUCACAAACUCAUCACAAAAGACAUAACUACAAAUGCAUUGGCCAAGCAUAAUUCUUCUACAAGACAAUCCUUCUCGGCUAUUUGCAGAGAACCUCACAUGUUCAGUACAAUUCUGGUGAAUAUCUCUCAAUCCAUGAUAUAUGCUUUUGUUAAGACAUCAGCUUUGGAACUUCACUAUUGUAAAACAAGUAAAACUGAGACAGCAGAGAUACUUUUGGAACCGCGAUACCAAAAAUGAUAAGCCAUACCAGAAAGAUAAUUUCACAAGGUAAUUUGGCAUAAAGAGCAUGUGUGCAUAUGUACAGCUUCCUAGCUGUACAUACAAACACAUGCCGUGCAAGAAAGUGAAACAGGAUACACGGGAUGGUUGGAGAAAAUACUACUAUUAUAAUUCAUGGGAACCAAAACCAUACAAGCUUUCAUCUUAACAUAGGACUUGCAAGGUGAGAAAUAAGGUUCUUCUACAGUAAUGAACUGAGGAUCUUCCACCUUUUCUCUAUUUCUGUCAGUGUUCCUCCCAUUUUCAGCAAAAUCAACACGUAACUGACGGCCAUUAACUUCAUAACCCUGAAGGUUCCGACGUGCACUUAGAGCAGUCUCCUCAUCCUUGUACUCGCAAAACCCAUAACCCUUCGGCUUCCCAGUUUCUUUGUCAACAACCAGCCUGCAACCAAUUUUGAGAAGUCAGUAUUCAGCAAAGUCAUAGCCCAACAGCGCACAUACAUGUAUCUUUGGGUUUUCCGUGGAAAAUAACUCAUAACUAGUUUUAUUCCAAAUGUCGGUAACAGUCCAAGAAACAUUUCUAUCUAAAUCCAAAAUCAUGUAUUAGCACAAUCUUUGAUAGCUUAACAAGCUAUAGCGCCACACACAAAACUUGUAGGGUUUGCACGAUUUCAACUAAACCUGAAGGAGACCACGGGGCCGACUUCCUCGCAUAUCUGCACGAGCUGCUCCUCCGUCGCAUCGUAAGGUAUGUUCCCAACUGCAACCAAAUUCAAGCAGGCAACACCCGCGUCAAUCAAACUCAACGAACCUACUAAGCCAACACAAAUUCAAGCAGGCAACACCCGAGUCGCACGAUUCGGAACUUCAAAGUAACCCACGGAAAGCAGACACCUUUCUCUGGGGAACCGGAAGGCGCGACGAAUGCGAAGCAUGAAAAAAAGAGGCAAACCCUAGAACAGUAAUGCCAAAACUAGAAAAUAAAAUUCAGCCCCAAAUCCAGCGGCGGAGCCAGCUAAAACGCGCUUCCUUCCGUCCGUCGAAAAUCUCACUGCCCGCGCCAACCCGGAGCUAAACCCGGGACGAAUAGAGGGGGCAACAACCGGACAAGCAACAUCAGCAGCGAUUGGGGGCCCCCAAAAUCGACGGAGAGGAGCCGGGUUUGCUCGCGCAUCCCGCGCAAGACCAAUACAUCUCCCGAAUUUCGCGGCGAGAGCUUCCGAGUUCCGAGCCUCCGGAUCGAACGGCGAGCUGGGGGGUGAGGAGGGGGGGGCGGGUUCGUGUGGGAGAGGGAGAGAGAACGGAGGGAGUGGGCGCGUACCGAAGACGCAGCGGUUCUGGGGGCCGGCGGGGGCGGCGGCCAUGCUCAGCAGAGGUCGCCGGCGGCGGCAAGGGGCGGCAUCGGCGCGCGGCUGCCUGCUGCUUUGCUAAUGCGGGGCGAUUUCAGGCAAGCCUGGUCUGGUGCUCUGGUCUGGUGCUCUGGAUGUGUUUGCGCGGCGCUCCAUCGCUUUAUAAAGAGUAAAAUGCACCCGAAAUCUCUGCUCUAUCGCGAAGGCAGUACCUAAUCUUUGAAAAUUCACGUUUAGAUUUUCAUUGUUUUAAGUGGUUCAUCACAGGUCCCUCGCCUGUAUGCGCAGCUCCGGCCGCAUGACGUGGCUGCCACCUAGGCUUUGGGCCCACAUGUCAAGCGACGACAUGGCAUUGCAAUCUUACAGAAAACCUCCCCACAUAUUCUCCUCUCAUUUUGCGACCAUCUGGAAUCUCCAAUGCGGCAGCUGUUGCUGGUGGCGGUGCCAUAGCUCCUGCCCUCCUUCCUCUCUUCAUCGUCGAUGAAGUCCUGGCGCAGGCAGUUAGGGUUGGCGGCGGUUGGCACAGGCAGAGGAGAGGAUGCGGGAGAGAACUGGAGAACGGAUGGGUGGACCACGAAAUGCAAUAGACUUACACGCGGGGGUUUUUCUAUAAGAUUGCAGCGCCACGUUGUCGCCUGACGUGUGGGCCCAAAGCCUAGGUGGCAGCCACGUCGUGCGGGACGGAGCUGCGCAUACAGGUGAGGGACCUGGGAUGAAUCACUUAACAAACAAUGAGAACCUAAACGUGCAUUUUCAAAGAUUAGGGACAUAUUCGACACCUUCGCGUAAGAAUAGGGACCUUGGAUGCAUUUUACUCCUUUAUAAAUAAGGAGCAAAGGGAGAGGGAGACUUGUUCGUUUCGUUUUGAGAGGUUUCGCUUGUUUUUUAUGAAGAAACUAAAAUGGAGGCAUUCUUCUUUUGGGAAAAUAGAAUACAUACUUGGUGCACUGGCACUUUGGCAGGUGGCAAUGGAGUUUGGGCACUGCUUUGGCAUGAUAUAUGAGAGACUAUGGGAAGGUUUUUUUCUGUCCCCGGGUAUACAUCAUCUUAAAGAUGUUGCAUCUCUUGAUGUACUAUAUUCCGCUCGUUCCUAAAUAUAAGUUGUCAUGUCGCCUAAGUCAAAAAAAUUAGAAUCUUAUCAAAUUUAUAGAGAGAAAAACACCAAUAUUUACAACUUUAAAUUAGUUUUAUUUAAUCCAUUACGUCAUGAUUAAAAUAUAUAUAUUAUAUUAUAUAUAAAAUUGAUCAAAUUUUAAGAAGUUUGAUUUAGAUCAAAGAUUUCUCAUGAUCAAAUUUUAAGAAGUUGUCAUAUCGCCUAAGUGUUGUAUCACGGAAUCUCUCAUUUAAUAUGUUGCUUAUUCAAUUUGGAGGACAACAAAACAUAGGAUUGCGAUAGGGUAACACUUGUCAUCCUUAGGAACUGUCCAACCUCAUUCUUAUGAAAAAAAAAGGUUGAACCUAACGUUCAUUUCCCUCCAAAAUCAUAUGAAAUCAAUGAGAUUCCUAAAGAAUCACUUUGCUUAUUUCCCACGGAAGGAAUGCAUCUACAGUGAAUUUUUCUAUGGAAUUCCCAACCCUUUGAUUUUCUAUGAAAAUCCUCUAAACACAAUAUUAUUCUACAUUUAAUUUGUGUCACUUUCAUCUUAUAUUUUAUUUAGGGUCUUGAGACAAGAGUUCUAAUCAUCGUAAGGUAUGACAAUAUUGUCUCAUUAUCCAUUUUUUAUUAAUCUUGAUGUAACAUUGGAUAUAUAUUUUUCCUAUGUAAAGGUUAAGGUUAAGAGACUGGUUGUUGGAGCAUAUUUAUCUCAAAACAGUAAUUGGGAGAGGCCUUAAUGCUUGAAGAUUUACCUACCAUUUCAAAUACUUAAUAAAAAGAGUAAGUUACUGUCUGUUUUUCCAUCUGUCUUUACUUAAAUGCUUUCAAAUGGGUUAGGUGGUUGUAGUCUGACAAUCAACGAGGCUCGUUUUAAGCUUCAGUUCCAACUUCCAGACAAACUUCUCUUUACACCAAUUAUAUAUCUUCAUACCAUACGAACUCAAUUUACAAAAUUCAAGGUCCUUCUCUUUGUUUUUACACUUCGCCACUUCUAGAAUCUCUGCGUGUGAAAGGCAUGCCCUCUUUCCAAUGGCCGUCUAGCCGACAGCAAACAUGUAUGGACGAGGGGCACACUAAACAUUGCCAAUACAGGUCGAAAGCAAAUUACAAAAAUACAGAACACGAAUGGCAACCAAAACCUGUCGAGUAUAAUUUAAACUCGUUUGUCAUGUAUCCCCCCUACGUUAUCAACAUGAACCUGUACAAUUUUAUUCUAAUAAAAAGAUUAUUUUUGGCCAAAAAAGAGAGAAAUAGAGAACAUGCAUACCAGCUAAGGAUGUAAACGGCAAGCUGUUUAAGCCCGUUUAGAUGUUAAUCAAGGCAAGAUUCAGAAAUAUAUUGUAUAAACAGUAAUAAUUUACAGUUCCAUGGAUAUAACAUGCACGAAAGCAACGUUUUGGGGGCAGAAUAGAACCAGAUCUGCAGCCACAAAAUCGGCAGUUAACUUACCAUGACUGUGCAAAAGAAUGGGUACAUAAUCUAAUCUAUCCAGCAGUUGCGAAACAUCAGCCAAAAUGAUAUGGAACACAACCGGUAAACUUGUAGUAUUCAUCCGGGGAGACAAUAUGUGUAUCUGUACAUGAGCAAGUUCCGUUAUUUUUCUUUUGCUGCAUAGACAUCUAUCAAGCAGGUUUCUGUCGCUGGCAGACUUCCCAGCAAAGCCCCACGGCACUGACCUCCAUCGCCACGUUAGUGACAGAAUAUGAGAAGACAUUGCCAGGCAAGCACAAUAAAAAUGAGACCUUUGGUCACGAGAAAAUAACAGAUGACGGUUGCUUGAAGCUAGAGUUGGAAGCGCCUGCUUUGAUCGAUGAUGUUAUCGUCUUAUCCGUCUUAUCCUUUGAGAUGGUGUUGCCACCGACUAGCUCAGAAGAAUUCGUCUGCUGGAUGUUUUCAACGUUGUGGUGUGGUCUGGCCCAAAUUUUGAUCAGCCCCUCACGGCAUAUGGUGACGAUUGAUUCACUGGUGAAUUCUAGGCCAGAGAGGGGAUCUGCAUGUACUCUGUGUGCGACAAGGGGCGAGAGCUUUGGUACAUCUCGCAUCCGUGGAGAAGGCUGAAGAACACCAGUCGGUGGAGGGCAUGCACUGUCCCAGUGUGCAGAAGGGCUCCCACUGCUAAAUGUCGGGGAGCCACUGGAAGGAUGUCGUAGUGGCACAGCAAUUUCAUCCAUAGCCAGAUCCCAAAGAAGCAGUUGGGUAUCCUAAGUGCAUGCAAAGGAGAAAAGGCAUUAUUUCCAGUACACCCAGUAGGAAAAGCAAUUGUAAAUGGUAGCUGAAGCAUGGACCACAUCAUAGUAGCACAUCCUCCGUUCGAGAUAUAAUCACAGGAUGUCAAGUUGUAACACUUGGUCAAUAAAAAAUAUAACGACACAUAAAACAGGAAAGACAAAAAACUUAGUUGCAGCAUAAAAUAGGACAGACAAUAAACUUAUUUGGGAGCUCCAUCCCCCGCAGGGAUCCUAGAACAAUUCCUGCCAAGCACAGUUCACUUCUGCUAGGCUUAUGCCGGAUGCCUGCCAGGAUUUGGACUCCCAGGUGAAGGGAAAAAACACCAGCAUGAUCAUGUGCCACAGCGUAGCGCAACUUUUUAGCAAAAAACUAGUGAUACACAUGCAUCAUGACUGAUCGACUCAAUAAAAAUGCUACUGAACUGUAUAGUCAAUGAUGCAUGCUCACUGUUCACAAAUGUAAAGUCAAUUGAUCAACCUAACAAGCAACAAUACAAAUUCAGACACUACUAGCAUUUCAAUCCUUAUCGGUAAUCACAAUUAUAAAAACACAUAUUAUUUCUAACGAUUACUAUUACGAUUCCAGGAAAAACCAUAAAAAUCUCAAAUUACGAUUCCAGGUUAACAAAUUUGUUAUUUUACAGAAACUUCUUGGUACCUGACCAACAGAACCAAAGCGAUACAUGACAUUAUCUUCUGCUUCAUCAGAGUUAGGUGGAGACCAGUAUGAAUCAAAGGCAACUGCACUAACCUGCGAACCAGAAAAGAAAUUUGCAUCAAAAUUGCAAGAUUCGAUGACACAUCGAUAUGCUGCUGAACAAAGAUAGUUGCAAUGAUGAAAUCACUCACCCAUGAUGUAUGCCCCUCGCCCCAUGCAACCAUCUUUCUGUCAUCCAUGCUCCAUACUUGCACAAGAUCAUCUUCCCCGCCUGAUAAUAAAUAUUUUCCAUCCGCACUGUAACAGGAGAGCACAAACGAAUUAUUAACAUCAUCCAGGUUCUUUAUUUUUACAUCCACAUCUUCCAGGCACUGUUUCAAGGAAGAAUGAAAAAAAAUGAAUAUGCAAUGGCUACAUGAAUAUACCACCCUGUACAGCAUAAAGCUUAGCAAAUGACACAGGAGGUUUGAAUACGUAGGAGAGUGUUUCUAUAUGGGCAUGCUGUUGUUGUACAUUAUUAUAUAUAGCUACUUCACAACUGUUGUGAAAUGGCACAAAUAAACCACACUUAUGUUGUGCCAAUAUGCAAAGGGAUAAGAGAUGCAAGUACACAACACUACAAAAAGGAUGUUACACAGUAUGGUCAAACUUUCUUCAAAUCUAUAAAUAGAAAAUAAGCCAAUAAUAUCAGGGCAGAGUGCCACGAGAGCUUAGUGAAUAAGAUGAGAAUUUGAUCCAAUGUGUACUUGACAACAAUUUCUUUAAUGUUGAUUACAUGACAUUUCAAGAGCUGGGGGUUGCAGGCGCUAUAUUACACAGUAAACACACUAACAGCAAUUAGCUAGCGCCUAGCAGUCAAAUAAGGCAAAGUAUUUACUGAGUCACCAAAAACACCAUUCUAGAGAAUGCUGCUGUAGUGAUCUAGUAGAUUAACAGUUUAGGGGCUAUAGCAAUACUAGACACACCAGUCAAUACUAGAGACACCAAAAACACCAUACUGAAGAGCCAUGGCUUCUAUAGUUAGACAUAUCAGCCGCUAUAACAGUUUAGGGGCUAUAGCAGCCUGCCACAACAUGCAACCAAUCGGAGCGCUACAGUAUAAGAUCUUUCAAGUUUCAACCAUGUGAGAAUUUGUUGUUAGGCCUCUACAAAAUGUGCCAUUAUCCGCCGAUAUUCCUUCAUCUUUUCUUACAAUCAAUUCAGAAUCAAUUUGUUCUUAUAAUCAGUUCAGUUAAUCAAUCCAACCUUUUGACCUCUUCCCUCCAAGAUCUAAUAAAAUCUUAAUUAGUAGCCUGCAAUUGUGAGUUCUAAUCAAGCAAUUAACAAACAUCAUUAUUUGAAAUAGUCACAUUGUGUUCUAUAAAAUGUAUGAUUAAACUUUAAGAUCGCUUAACUUGAUAAAAUAUAAUAGACAAGUACAGCUGCUAGAUUGCUAGACAAUAUCCAUCAUAAAAAACACUUCGCCACUGAUCCUCCACAUUGUCAUAUGUAAAAUUUGUCGGACAAGGGUAAUUUUACCAAAAGAAUGAGAUGGUUUUGUGUAACUCAGAGACUAUCAACAAGACUACAAUAGGUAAACCCACAGAGAAUCCUGUAAGUAAUUGGACAAUAACUGGAAUAGAUAUGGACCUUUGAGUUUCUUUUCUUUUCACAAAAUGUCGAUUUAAACAUGGCAAAGCAUUCAGCUUCUGGGGAAGUGCUGACAUGAGACAAAGUGGGUGCCAUAUAUCAGCACAACAGUACAUCGAAUCAGCAGUUUACCUCCAUGAGCAGCACAAAAGAGCACCAUAGUAACUUUUCCCACCGAAUAUUAGUUGUUCUUUCGCAAAAUCAAAUACCCUUAAAUAGCCUGUGUAUGAUUCAACAAAUUUAGUACAAUAUAUUGGCAACAGGAAAACUUUAAUAUAUAAAACUGUGGAUUCUCAUUCUUGGCUAUAGAAAUUACCAUCUCGCCCAACAGUUGCCAUGUAAGCUCCAUCCGGUGAAAAUGAAAUGGCAUUGAUUGCACCUUGACAAAUGUGCCAUCUUGCAAUAGGAUUGCUCUGCAUAUUAUUUACAUCCCAUAAUCAACCAUAGCAGCUAUACUUUUAAAAUUUAUCAUGUUCAGGAAGUAUCCAAAGAUGUUCAGGAAUUUCCGGACUAUCCAGCUAAUGCAUGUAAGGCCUUGGCUGUGGAACCCAACAGUAGAGGAGUGUCUAACGAAAUGAGUUUUCUGGACGUACAUGCAGAUUCUGUCUUCGAACAAGUAUCCAAAACAAGUAUUUCCCCAUUACAAAAUGUCAAACCAUCACCAACAUUAAUAACCAUGUUGGUGCAAUUUUUAGUAAAAGAUAUCGGAUGCCACACAUACAAAUGUAAUUUUCAACUGAAGAUCAAAUGCCGUAAGAUACCUUAGUGGACUUUGCAUGUGAAAUUGUCAGCUGACUUUGAUCCUUUACAGUUGGAAAUGUCCAAUCAGCAUUCCCAUCCUUGGACUGAACAUAAAAAAUAAUCAGUUCAAAUAUGACAUAACGAAAUAUGACUACUUUGUAACAAAGUUCGACAACAGUAGGGGCUCACUUUGUCAUACACAUACAGAUUUCCAUCAGCAUUACUGACAACAAAAAUGCCUUCACGCUCUGGCACCCAUGCAACACAAGUACACCGGCUGUAAAACAAAGGCAUCCAAAAAUCAAAUCUAAGAGUAGAUAAUCCCAUAACUUUACUAAGACAUGCAUCCACAGACACAACACAAAUUAUUGAUUUUCUUUCCCCAACCCUCCAAAAAGAUAUUUACAAAUUUCACAAGUAGAUUAGGUAUCACUGCAGCAAUAGCAUAACAGAGACUGCACAUUUAGCAAACCUUAAACAUGCAUUAAAACAGGAAUGCUUCACUUUCGAUGCUGACUAGGCAAGGAAGGUAUAUCAUUAUUCAGCUUCAGCUCUCCUUAAAACGAAAAACCAUGCUUGGACUAAAUGCUCCUCACGAAGCCCAGAAAGAAGACAGUAAUUGGACAACUAUUGGGCCCACCAAGGUAGGGCAGCUUUGUCUAGAUAUGCAUAUACCUAGACACGUUUCAGUGUGUAGGUACAUGAGUAUCUAGACAAAGCUGCGGCAAUGAAUUUGGAUCGGAGUGAGUACUACAGACUCAGCUUCGUCCAAAUGAGGUACACAAGCAAACUUUUGGGCCAUAGUCCUUAUCCACACAUAAAAGCAGCAGCCUAUUAAAGUCACCACUUCUAAUAACGCCAAAAAGAAAACUUUGGCUCAGACAGACUUUAUUAGGUAUUGUAAAACAAUAGUGUUGAGGGGGUGGCAUGAGACGGAUGUAUGCCAAUACUAGGAGUACUUGCAAGGUAACUCCGAUACACAUUUGCCAAUCACAUUAUGACAAAAUUUAUCACUUCCAUUUUCAUAAGAAAUAAAUAUACAAAUACAAACAUGCCUGUUGGCAGUUCCAUCUUUGUCUUUAUUGAUAAAAUGUUGAGAUGCGACAGGCUUCUUUCCAGGAUCUUGCAAUUGCUGUCUCAAUGACAUCGAGUAGACUGCACAAUGUACACGGAUAACGUAUAUCAAGACAUAGUUCAAUUGUGAGAGUAAAGCAUUCCAAAUAAGAAAGCACUGACCAUCUCCUGACCAUACUCCAACGAUCAGGUCAUGCCCAUCUUUGGCCUCAGGGUCAAAUGCAUGACAAAGAGGGUUUGAGUUGCUGAAGUGGAUGGACUUUACUGGAUCCUGGUGCAAUCAAUAACUUGAUCAGAGAACCAAAAGGCAAACAUACUUGUAACUUCAGCCUGCAUUCAACAAGGGAACUAGUACUUUGUCGUGCGAGUUGAGAUCACUCAUGAACAAUGUAUCCGCAGUAUUGAAGAUGAUGUACGUGCCCUUGCCGUCAUAAUUCGCCACAGCUUGCGAACCACUAACACUCGUCGACAUACCAACCCCUCCACCCACACGGCUGCUCCCUGAGACAGCCCUGCUGACACCAUUGCUCCCUGCAAAGCUAAGCGUCCGGCUCCCAUUCCCAGUGCCAAGCAGCCUCGCAGCUGCAGACCGCAUACCGCUGCUGGAACUUGGUGUUGAAGGUGUGGAGCCCUGCCCCGCCGGUUUCUCCUUCAAAUACGCCACGGUCAUCUGCCAUCAUCAAAACUUACUGAUAUAAACUUAACUUGACAUAAUAGAAGAAUAAUCAUCACAAUGAAGUCGACCGUGACCAAAUAAGCAAAUGACUAAAAUCCUUGGCUAUACCAUCAAACUCCACAAGAACAAACCCCACUAAAUUCAUCAGUAUUGUUCCAUAGAUGGUCAAUCGUAGUACAUAGAUGGUAAAUCGUACUACAAAUACUUAUCCGGAAACCCUGACUAAAACCAAUCAAAAUCCCAGCCCCACGUACACGCUCGAAUCCUGCCGCUGAUCAGGUCAACACCCAACGCCCCCGCCCGAUUCCCCAGCCCCAUCCAAUCCCAUCGAGAUCCCAGCCGGCCGUGGUACCAACCCGCGGGGCAGUCAGGCCGCAAACCCCGCGACGCGAUCACCCGGCGGGGCGGCCCAUACAUACCUCGGAGACGGUCUUGCCGCCGGCGCCGUGGUUGUAGUGCAGCACGGAGGGGGAGUGGGUCUUCUCGUACUGCAGCUUGUGCCGGCCCUCGGGGGUCUUGAAGUAGGUCUUCAGCCCGGGCGCGCCGCCGCCCCCGCCGCCGCCCGAGGACGACGACGUCGCCAUACCCCGCCCCACGCGUGCGCUCGCGGGUCGCCGCAGGCAGGCGGUCAGUCAGUCGGUCGGUCAGUCCCCCCGCCGCCGCCGCGAUCGCGUCCGAAGCAAUGCUCACGGCCGCGCGGUCAUCUCAUGCCGCCGCAGCUGCCGUCGCCGCCGCCGUGGUACCGAGGGUUAGGGUUUUGGGGGCGGUGGUCAGAUGGGGAUCGAUGGACGCGACGGGGAGGCGGUUUGAUUUGGGACGAGAGACGGAGAGAGAGAGAGAGACCUGGUGCUGGUCAGCUGGUGCGGUGGGCAGGAGGAGAAACGGAAGUGAGUUCUCUCUCUAUUUUAUUUUUCUUUGCGAGGGGAAAUCUUUGAAGAGAGAUUUGAUAAAAGUAGAUGUGGCAUUCGUUCUAUGUUAAAAAUUUCAAAACUAGUACGUAUUUGUUUUGCUAAUUACGACGAGGCAUGCUUGUAGGCAACAUAAGCACAGCCACCCAUAAGCAAAGACGUCCUAAUAAGACAUGUUAGAUCUGGAUCUAUUGGGUGUCGUCUAACUGGUUGGUUCGAGUCAUAGGAAUGACGCGGGAAGUGAACCGUCCGGAAAAGGAUAUUGUGAGUUUGUGACGUGAUCCAUGUAUUGUGGAGGGACGUUGACACGUGGGUUCGCCCAUGUCAGUGACCCCAUGUAAGGGUGUAUUGCGUCAGAGGAUCCACAUCAAUAGGCUCAUGGCAUCGGAAAAAUGACAUACAUGCUAGGUGUUAGACUUGGAUUUGAUGAAAAAAAAACUUACCUAAAAUGUGUGUUUAAUGAAAAAAUGUUCCGCUUUUGGUUACAUGAAACAUGUAGCCUCGAUAUAUGCGGUUUUGUGACAUAUUUUACUCAUAAAAGAUGAUAUUGAACAAAAAUAAAAACCAAUAAAAAUGAGGUCACAUGUACGUCUGUGUCAAUCCAUGAAGAGAUCUAGGAGUUGCGACCGAAUUGGUCAAAAAAAAUGCAAACAUUAUCGAUAGAGAUAUAUUUCUCAAGAUAGUCAUUUUAGUUGAAUAAUAAUCCCACGACCCCUUUUUAGACGAUACACGUCAAUCAACCGGAUUGUCUUGCGGCUUGCAUCAAUGCCUUUUCGGUACUUUCCCUCCCUCCCUCUCUCUCCUCCCCCCCCCCCCCCACAUCACCUCUUAUUCCCUGUAGCGCCAUGGAUGACAUCACUCAGAAUUACUUGAAUAGUGAUUCUCACGGUGUCCAGCUCGAGGAGAUGUUUGAACCAUGGAGAAUGUGUUUGUGGUUGCCAAGUCUGGCUCGAACGGUUCUCCGGCAGGGCUAGAUUCGUAACCAUCAAUUCGAACUGGUGAAGUCAUGUGCCAUCAUUGUUGAUAUCAAAAGGUUAUUAACUUGAGAUCUUCGAUACUUGAAGAUUGUUUCGAUAUAUUGUAAACCCACAUAUUACAGAUGCAUAGACGAGUUGUUGUGAUCAUUCCUAAGUCAGUUGUGAAAGGGUUACUUGUAUGUCGCAAAUGUAUUUCUCGAUGUUGUGCGUGUCAUGCGUACAUGUUGCAUGCGUUGUUUUUCAUGGCGUGUGAUGUUAAGCCAUCCUUAGAGCAACUCCAGCCGGCCCCCCUAAAGCCCCCCCAAAUGCCAAAUGGGGGCGCCGGCGCCCGAAAACCCACCCAGCCCAGCCCCCCAAUUCUAAAAUUUAGCCAGCGCGGCCCAAGAUUUUAGCAGGCGUCCCCAGGCCGCACCCUACUCUAGGAGGGUGCGAUCGGGGGCGCCAGUUGAAGCCAAAAGGCAAUGCGGGCCACACCUGCCGGCGAGAUAAUACAAAUUUCCCUCCAAAUUUUCGACGGCUUCCCCUUUUCCCUCCACUCCCCCCCCCCCCUGCUUGGGCGGCCAAUCCCGCCAUUUCCCCAUUCUCGCCACCGACACCACCUCAAAGCACCUUGCCGAAACCACCACCACCCAAAAAACCAUGCCGUCGAAGAGGUAUGCAGCGCCUCGUUCCACGCUACAGGCGACGCAGUGGCAAAGAAACCAAAGGAGAAGGAGCGGCCGCCUGGGAUGAGCAACGCCGACUGGGCGGCGGAUACAGGCGGAUUGUAUCCGCUGCAGCGUCGAGAACGCCUCACGCCGUGAACGGGAGAGGAAGGCCAAGGAGAGAAACGCCGACCUGGCCCGGCAGAUGGAGGCGCAGAGGGUCGCGGCCUCGACGUAGAUGGCCACGAACAAGGCUGGCAUUACUGCGCCGCGCCCGACAGACGGCAUAUGAUGAUCGCCGGGUCAUUGAUCGGGAGUUCGCGUCGGUGACCCACGAUCGCAACGAGUCUGGCUUGUCAAUGGCAUGGCAUUCAAGAAGAGGUGCGCCGGCGACCCGCAGGCGGCAGUAGCGCCCAAGAUCAGGUAAGCCGGCGCCUUUUUUCAGCUUUUGUGUCACUGAUUUUACAUUUGCCGCCCAGUCUUGUAGAUGGUCGCCAUAUUCACGGCCUUCCGAGGAUAACGACGGCGCCGAUUUCAAGUUCAUCCACGUCUUCGCAAGAAUUGAGAUGUGCGACAAGUGGACAGAGACGCGGAAUGGCCUUGCCAAGUCCGGCACCUACGACCUGAAAGCCGCUCCUCCGGCGGCAGUGGAAGGCCGGCCCAUCGGCCACAAGAAGGCAAAGGCAAUGAAGGAUGCCGCGCCGACUACGGAGCGCCUGUACACAUGCAUCGAGAAGUGCAUGUCCAACGCCGCCACACAAGCAGCAAAGAGGGACGAGCUCGCCGCCAAGAGGGAGGCGGUCGUGGCGUCACGGGGGGCGACGGUGAUCAAGAAGCAAGAUGAAAAGCUCGAGAUCCUCAAGGCGAAUGUCGCGGCAAAGAAGAGACGGGAGGACUUGUUGAUCUUGACAUGCGACACCACCGGCAUGGACGCCGAGGUGAAGGCGUGGUACAACAGCCAACGCAGGCUCAUUUUGGCUGAAGCGAGAGCGCCGACGUCGCCGCCCGCCACUGCAGCAACGGCCACCUCUACUGCAUCGACGCCAUCACCGCCCGAAACAGCAACUCCGGACACUUCUACACCACCGGCGGGCUCGGAAGUGCCAUCAGCGCCGGCGGAUGACGAAGGUGCCGAGUGAUUUCACUUUUAUUUAAGUUUGAUGUUAUUUUGAUCGCCGAAACUUGUGAUGAACUUGGACGAUUUGGUGAUUUGGGCCGGCCUGUGAAAAUGGCGGCAAAACGUUGUUUGAAUUGUAUUUUUUGGGGCUGAUGUUUGGGGGGUGCGGCUGGGUCUCAAACGAAGAGGGUGCGUCGGCGCCCCAUAUGGCCUAGCGCCGGACGCGAAAUGGGGUGGGCGAGUGGAGAUGCUGUUAGCUUAUUUUUGCUGGGAAAUGGAGAUUUGCUGCGCACCUAGAUUUAUCUUUCACAACACGGCCGUUCUCUGCCGUCAGAUCUCCUUUUGUUUUUUCUUUCAGGGAACUGCCGUCAGAUCUCCUUCCUUCAGCUAACCACUCCACAUAGACGGUCCAGAUCGACCCCUGACCAUUACAGGCUCCGGUCCCACUCGUCAGUGCUCCAGCGCCGCCUGCAGCAACUCUGCAAAGGCUCCCCGAUCUUGCUCGUGCUCUCUCCUGCUCUCCCCUCUUUCCCUCUCAGAUCUGCACGGCCCACUGCCCCAAGCCCCGGCGAUCGCCGGAGCCCCCCACCACCGCGGAGGCAGGCGGGCGGCGCGAUGGACCUCCUCAUCGCGCAGAUCACCACCGACCUGCGCUCCUCGGACGCGCUCCGGCAGUCGUCCGCGCUGCUGCAGGCCCUGCAGCAGUGCGCCGCGGGCCGCGACGUGUCGGCGCUCGCCCGCACCGCCGCCACCGAGAUCCUCGCCGCGCCCGCCUCGGCCGUCUGCAAGCGGCUCGCGCUCGACCUCCUCCGCGCGCUGCCGCUGCCCCCCGACCUCCUCGACCCGCUCCUGCUCUCCUCCCUCCGCUCCGACCUCUCCUUCCCGGACCCCGACGUCGCCGCCUCCUCCAUCGCAUCCUUCCCUUCCCUUCCGUCGCACCUCCUCCCCACGCUCCUCUCCUCCGCGCACGCCGACAUCGCGGCGGCCCUCUCCUCCCCCGCCGAGUCGCUCCGCCUCGCCGCCGUCACGUCCCUCUCCUCCCUCCUCCCGCGGGACGACCUCGCGCUCAUGUGCUCCACCAACCCUUCCCUCAUGGGCCACGCCACCACCUGGUGGGGCCGCCUCGCCGAGCUGGCCCUGGACUCUGCGGACGCUGUGGCGGCAGCGGCGUUUGAGGCGCUUGCCCGGCUGUUCCAGGAGCUGGAUGCGCGGCGCAUGAGCCGGCUUGCUGGGGACAAGCUCGUCGACGGAGAGGGCGCGCUCGCCGUGCGUGCUCAGUGGGCGGCUGAUGCCAUCAACUUUAUCUGGUCCCGGCGGAACAUGCUCAUUGCCCGUUCCAUGGUGAUGCCCGUCGAGAGCUUCCGUGUCACCGUGUUCCCUCUUGUGCACGCGGCAAAAAUGGUUGCUUCCGGCGCGGUGAACACGCUGAGGCAGAUUGCCAAACCAGGAGACGCUACGAUAGCUGACACCGUGGAGGCGAGUGCGGAGAAGUUGGUCGGGGUUUCGGACAUCGUCUCGCACUUGCUGCCUUUCCUUAGCUCGCUGGACCCACCACUGGUGUUUGAGGUGGGGAUCAAUAUGCUGUCGCUCGCAGAUGCGCCCGGAGGCAAGCCGGAGUGGGCUUCAGGUGCUAUUAUUGCAAUUUUGACACUAUGGGACCGCCAAGAAUUCUCAUCGAUGAGGGAGACGAUUGUCAGGGCUGUUGUCGCAAAUCUCCAUUUGCUGGAUCUUGGAAUGCAGGUACUAAAUCAGUCCAUUUAUGAUAGCAACAUACCUUAGUCUGAUCACCUUUAUAGUUGUUUGCUAAUUUCCUGUGGUAAUGCUAUUGAUUGCAUUAUUUGCCCACUGCCAGUUAGGAAGCUUCUGGACUAUGGAUCCAUGAAGUGUGUGUUUGUUAGUAGUAGUAGCCAAAUUUGUAUCAAGUAAUAUAAGUGGUUUCUAUUUGUGUGCCAAUAUAGUGAUUUACUGUCAUUAGUUAUAGACAAUCUAAAGUGUAGUUGAAGUAUAGCUGGCCUUUCGGUUACAUAAGAUCUUGUUUGAAUUGGUGUCUGUAAAAUUAUUACAACCAUUCAUACAACUCCACCAUUUGCUGUUGUUUUUAGUGCACAUGCAUGAAAAUACACGUAUUUUGACUGAGCUAAAUUUAUAUUCUCAAUCAUCAAUGUCAUCAUGGGUUAUUAUUGCAUUCCUAACUUCUGCUCCCAAUGCUGACAUUCUUGUUUGAACUAAGCAAAAUUCAGGGUUAUCCCAUACCAUCUCCUAUUUCAGUCUUAGGGCAAAGAAUUCAAAAAUUCUAUUUCAUUGUUGUUGCCCCAGUGAAUUAAAUGCCACUUUAGUAGGUUGAACUUCUAUGUGCUGAUUUUGUCCAUUUCACAUAUAACCAUCAUUCAAUUCUGCUAGUGUAGCAUAUACAUUUAUUCAUUUGCAUCAUUUGAUGUCAUCUCUGAAAGAUGGAGAGUACAAAUCUGCUAGUGUAGCAUAACUAGUUUGUCUGUAUAUUCCCCAGCACCACCUUAUAAUUUACAUAGUCAUAUGUAUAUCGCAAAUUAUAUUUACCGUGCUCGCUUUUAAUGUGUUCCAUCAUUAUAGCAGCCAGCCAGCCACAACUAAAUGAGUAACGUUAUACUUCUGUCCUGUCUUAUCGGCUACACAGUGAUUUGUAAUGUCAUGAUAGAUGAUAGAUUAUUCAGUGAGCAACUUAGGUUCAUAGGUGAUAGAAUGUUGUUCGCUGGCCAUUGAUUCAAAUCCGACACAUAAGUAUUUGUGCCUUCAGAAAUUUCACUGCAUUUCACAUAUAAUCAUCAUUCAAUUCAUUGAUAUCAAGUGUAUCAUAAUAUUGGCAUCUUCUGUAUCAAUUAAUGCUGGUAUAUUGCACGCAUCUGCACGUGCUAAAAUGAUGUAAUAUUAUAAUGUCAACUUCAAUAGGACCUGGGAUGCAGGGGUUGGGUGGUGGUGGUGGUGUGGUUUAGAGCCAUACUGCAGACAGUUUUUGCCAUAAAAACCAUGGAAGUUCAGUUCCGACUAUCUUAAUCCUUGUGUGAAGAUUGACCUCUAGUUAUGCCAAUAUAGUUGUAGCAGACUCAAGUACCAAAUAUAAGAGUGAGGAUAAAGACAAAAAAUACAAAAUAAAUAACGCAUGUUGAUCUUUUCAACAAGAGAUUGCAAAGUAAUUCGUCCUGCUAGUUACUUACGGGGUAGCUGACUGUUUAUGUACAAUGGCUACAUGUUUAUGCAAAGUUUUUCCUGAAACACAAGAAUCUGCAAGCAUAUCCUGAACAUGCUACUCUGCAGAUGCGGUGGAACAUCCUUUCGUUCUUUUCCAAGCUCCCCUCAAAAACUUAGUACCAACUGAUAGCCUAUUCAGCUUUUCUGUUCUCUUCCUGAACUGAUGAAAGAACAAGAUCAAGUAGGGAAAACCUGGGCCCUGGAAGAAAAUCGUAUUAGUGGUAGAGCUUGUUUGGAUCAUGUAUACAUCAUAUUUUUUUUGCAUAAAAGUCACAACAUCAUACAGGCCUUGAACUAGUCAUGACUGUUUUAGUAUUUGUGGAUAAAAUUUGCCAGGAAUAUUGGCUGCACAGUUGAAAUUUUCCUUAUUCUCUUGCAAAUUUAACAAUGUCCAAUCUAUGCUUGAAGAUUUGAGCUGUCCAAAUCUAAAGAUGUUUGCAGAUAAUUACCAGUUCUUACCUUUAUGUGCAUAACUUGUAAAGAAGAUAGGAUACUGAAAGGGACAUUUUGAUUUAUUGAACAAGAGAGUUGUGCAAAUUUAUGUUCAAGUUUUAUUUAUAAAAGCAUGUUCUGCGAUGCAGGUGUCUCUGUUCAAAAGGCUGCUUCAGAUGGUGAAAAAUUUGAGAGCAGAAUCAGAUCGUAUGCAUGCCUUGGCAUGCAUUUGUCGGACCGCUCUUUGUGUUGAUCUUUUUGCAAAGGAAAGUGUACGAAGAGGUCAGAAGCCCGUUCCUGGAACAGAUGUGAUAUCACUUUUUGAGGAUGCGAGGGUGAAGGAUGAUCUAAACAGCAUAACGAGCAAAAGCUUGUUCAGAGAAGAGUUAGUUGCCUCACUGGUAGAAAGUUGUUUCCAGCUCUCUCUUCCACUACCCGAGCAGAAGAAUUCUGGGACAGAGAGCAGAGUUAUAGGAGCAUUAGCCUAUGGAACUGGUUAUGGUGCAUUAAAUUGGACGGAACCUGCUUUGGACGUGGUGGAAGUUUGCAGACCUUGUGUUCUUUGGGACUGUGAUGGUCGUACCUAUGCAAUUGAUUGCUAUCUGAAGUUGCUUGUAAGGCUUUGUCAUAUAUAUGAUACUAGAGGUGGUGUAAAGACAAUUAAAACUGGUGCAUCUCAAGAUCAGAUUCUUAAUGAGACUAGACUUCGAAAUUUGCAGCUACAGCUUAUCAGGGAUCUUCGUGAGGUUAUGAUCCAUCUCAUUAUUUUGUUUUGAUGGAACGUUUAACAUAUUUUGUUCUGAAUUUGAAUACCAGUUGAUGUUUUUUUUCAUUACUAACUCAAUGUAACACACUAGUUUUAUUCAUUACCAACUCAAUGGCACCUGCUUUCUCAAGUCUUACCUGUGUUUAGAUCUUGACUGCGUUUUCGUUGUACACUUCCAUUCAUCUUCCAUUGCAAAUACUUAUAACUUAAACUGUGCCAUUUUGUAUAGAUGCUUUUCUAGUUAGAGAUUAUCGAUAGACCAAUGGGGUCAUAAUACCCGAGUUCCUAUGUGCACCUUUUUUUCCAAUCCAGAUUGGCCUAGAAAUUUAUUAAAUCUGAACAAUUCUUUCUUUGCAGGUACAUACCUCAAGAAUAUCAUCACGGUUGAUAUGGGCAAUUUCUGAACACUUUGACCUUGAAGGUCUGGAUCCUCUUUUAGCUGAUGACCCUGAGGAUCCUCUGAAUAUUAUCAUAUCUAACAUGCACAAAACUUUAUUCAACACCGAUUCCUCUGCCACUACAUCAAAUAGGAUACAAGAUGUGCAGGCUGUCCUCAUAUGUGCUCAACGUUUGGGAGCCAGAAAUGCAAGAGCAGGCCAGCUCCUCACUAAAGAGUUAGAAGAAUUUAGGUCAAGUACCUCAGCUGAUUCUGUCACUAAGCACCAGUCGCGUUAUGUCCUGCAAAUAAUAAAGUAUGUGACGAAAAAUCCAGAUAACAGGUGAGAGUUGUUUCUGGAAACUAAUCAUUUUGUCAUUGGGUUGCAGUAUCUGCAAAAAUGCUGUAGCUGAAAAGAAGAAGAAGAAAAACUCUACUAGAACAUGCAUUUCGAAAAAUAAUUAUCAUGUCUAACUAUCAAUAUUUUAUCCAGGUGGGUUGGUGUGGGUGAUGCUACAGGAGAUUACCCAUUUAGCCACCACAAGCUUACGGUUCAGUAUUCAGAAGCUGCUGCUGCACAAGAUAGGAAAUUGGAGGGAUUAGUUCAUAAGGCCAUUCAGGAACUUUGGAGGCCAAAUCCCAGCCAGUUAACUCUCCUACAGACAAAGGGGAUCGGUGCUUUGCACAAAGAUCUUCCAAAAGCAGGCACUUUGACUGGCAGCAGCGAUCCAUGCUACAUCGAAGCAUAUCAUUUGGCGGAUCCAACUGAUGGCAGAAUCACCCUACAUCUAAAGGUAUGACCUGAUUGAUGAUCUGUUCCUUGUACAUUUAACAGUAUUUCUACUGAUCUGUACUAUAUCAUGGUUGUUAAACACUGAUUAGGUUAGGGACAAUUAUGGACAUGUGGCAAGGGUAGUCAUCAACCAAACAUGCCCAUAUAUGUCUUUAUCGCUCCAGCAUAGUAUUUGCAUUCCGUCACCCAGUAGAAGGAUUAGAAGUGAAUACAACUAUUUGUGGCUCUUAUAUAUUGCUUUGCUGUAAGCUGUAGUUUUCUUUGACUUUGAGCUAUAUGCUUAUUAUUUUUUACUAAUAUACACUUUUGCAGAUUUUAAAUUUGACUGAGCUGGAACUCAACAGAGUGGAUAUCCGAGUUGGGCUCUCUGGAGCAUUGUACUAUAUGGAUGGAUUUUCCCGCACCGUUCGGCACCUGCGUAAUCUUGUUUCCCAGGUGCCUCUAUGAAUCUAGAUUUGCUUAUUUACUAUAUGCUUUUGUUUAAUUUCAAUUACUAUAACAAUAGUUUAUACUCGUAAAAAAAGUUUAUACUAUUUUAGAAAAUCAAACUAAUGUUAAUAGUUUGUUGUUAGCUAGAAUUGGCACACAAAUCUAGGAUCACAGUUCGCUUAGAAAUAUAUUGUUUGAAUAUAGUUUACAGGAAACUUUUUCUUCUUCAGCCAGUAAACUUCUCAGUCUAUUUCCUUCUAGAACUUAACCAAGAUCUCCCAACGUAGUAUACCUGACUAGCAAGUUGAAUAUCACUAUUAUGGUGCACACUGGAUAGAAUGUGGUUAUUGGGACUAAUCAAUUCUACUAUCAUGAUGUUGGUCUUCCGUCUGUCUCUAUUGCUAUGUUAACUAAGGCUCUGUUUAGCAUUGCGGUGGCUUCGAAGUACUUAACAACUAGUGACGGUAUCUUUUUUUCCUGACAAGUCUUGCAAAAACAGUGAGAUAUCCCAGAAAAUAAAAUAGAGAUAAUAAAUGUUGUAUAGUUGAAUCAGCACUCCAUCACAUAUCAGCUAAUCCAUAUUUGAAUCUAAACUAUGUGGUAAAUGCCUCAUAAUUCUGCAGGAUCCAGUCCAAAGCAGUGUCACUGUUGGAGUUUCACAUUUUGAGAGAUGCUCUCUCUGGGUUCAAGUCUUGUAUUACCCAUUCUACGGAAGUGGAGGAUCCGCAGACUAUGAAGGAGAUUAUGCAGAAGAGGACUCGCAGAUGACAAGGCAGAAGCGCUCACUCCGGCCAGAGCUUGGGGAGCCAGUUGUUUUGCGGUGCCAACCUUACAAAAUCCCUCUCGCUGAACUUCUCUUGCCAUAUGAAUGCUCUCCGGUUGAGUAUUUCCGUCUAUGGCCAAGCUUGCCUGCCAUGGUCGAGUGUACUGGAACAUACACAUAUGAAGGCAGUGGUUUCAAGGCCACUGCCGCUCAGCAGUAUGAUAGCUCUCCUUUCCUCAGUGGGUUGAAGUCAAUUUAUUCUAAGCCCUUCCAUCAAGUCUGCUCUCAUUUCAUCCGCACAGUUGCUGGGUUCCAGGUAAAGCAUUUGAUAAUCUUAAUCUCUUAAAUGGCUUUACACAACUGUGUUGACUCGAUCACGUGCACAACUACCAAUUACUUUAGGUUAUAACUCAUGAUUCUUCUACAGUUGUGUUACGCUGCAAAGACUUGGUUUGGUGGGUUUGUGGGCAUGAUGAUCUUCGGUGCAAGCGAGGUCAGCCGGAACGUUGAUCUGGGUGAUGAGACAACCACAAUGAUAUGCAAAUUCGUCAUGCGCGCAUCUGAUGACUCAAUCACAAGAGAGAUCGAGGCGGACCUACAGGGCUGGCUGGAUGACAUCACUGACGGUGCCGUGGAAUACAUGCCUGAAGACGAGGUAAAGAGCGCAGCUGCUGAGCGGCUGAAGAUAUCCAUGGAGAGGAUAGCCCUGCUCAAGGCAGCCAAACCAAAGGUACCGCCUGCGAAAACCGAGCAAGAAGAGGAGGAGGAGAAAAAGAAGAUGAGCGAGGAGCUGGAGCUGGACGGGUUCGGGAACCCCAAGGGCCCCUCAACGCUCUCCAAGCUCACGGCUGAGGAAGCCGAGCACCGCGCUCUCCAGGCGGCCGUGCUCCAGGAGUGGCACCAGCUGUGCAAGGAGAAAGCACUGAAAGCGCAAUGAGGCCGCUGCCAGGUUUCCACUCCCGCCUGUACAAUUCUGUAUCUGCCUUUUUUUUUUCCAACCCCAUUUCGAUUCUUCUCGAGUGUGUCAGUGUGUGCGUGAAUCCUGCUGAUUUUGCUGGUGUAUUAUUGUUACCCUCCGAUUUGUUCAUUAUAUUCAUCGAUAUAUAUAUACUGUUGUAUCACGAACGAACUCUCUUCUCUUUUUUCGUAACAUAGCUCGAAGUUUUUGCUGUGAACUCAUGAUUUUUAUUCCCUUGCCCAGUUUCCAUGAUUUCUUUGAAGUACAAAUUAUUUUCUUGAUGUUAAACUACCGGGAACGUGGGCAGGGACCUAUUGCUCCCUGGCAGAUGGUUCAGGCCUCUCAGUGACCUAGUCAGGAUAUUGAGCUACGAGGAGGAGUGCCGCUGCCGACGCCGCGCUCUCUUUAUUUUAUUUGUCCUUCACGUGAAGAUCUCGAAAGAAACUGGAAACAGACGGCCAGAUGACGCCGGAAGCAGCGAUAGAAGCGGAUCAUGCGGAACAGGCAAGCCCUGUCCGACGGGGGCAAGGUAGCUUUGCUGUCGUAGCCACCAAUCAAAGGAGCAGCCACCUUAGAAUUGAGAGUUUCCUCGCCACAGCAUAAAUUACAGUACAUAAGUAUUUCCCGAUCCUUCCCAUUCCAAGCAUGGAUGUCACGCACUGUAGUAUUGUUCUAUUCGUUUUUUGAACUCUCUCCUGGCAAGGUGAGUUGUGAGAGGCCAUAUAGUCAUGUAAAAAUAAGUUAGAAGACUACAAAGGUGUCAAACGGUUGAAGUGCCUCUUUUAUAAGGGAAAGUCUCUUGUAACGAAGGGAAGGUUGUUGGGGGCAGGAGCUAGCAAUCAACUCUAAAAUAAAUUCAUGUAUAUUUCGAUGCAAAGAAAUACCGUGCCAUGCCACGUCCGUCACUUCAAUUAAGUCGGAACUUAAAUGUGCUAGCUCGAUCCAAUUCAAUGUUCUCGGCGUCGUGUGACGGCAGGUAAGAGAAAUAAGUGAUGGAAUACUUGGUGCUUGGUUAUUCCCACACUUGCUUGUAUUGUGUUUGUGGUUUAUGUCUACCGUUCCAUUUCGGAAACAUGCGUCUGUACCGAAUAGACUUGUUAAAAUACUACUUCCCCCGUUUCAUAAUUCUCGUCGAAAUAUUACAUGUAUGUAGACAUUUUAAAAAAUAGAUAUAUCCACUUUUGGACAAAUUUGAGACAAGAAUUAUGGAAUUAUUUCUUGCUUAAAAGCAAACCAUAAUCACUUUCGUUAUUCCAUCACCAAAAUGGUCAAUAAAGGAAAUAACCUUCAAAGCCUAAGGCCGAGUAUUUUAUCGAUCGUUCACUCCCCGAGCCCAUUGGCCGGCCCGUCGCUUUCCCAGUUUCCAUACUCCCGGGUCCAGAGCACAUCACGGCCAGUGAGGGUUCACUGAUCUCCUACCUCCACUCAAAAAGAGACGACGUCAUGGUUCUGUAGCCUAACCAUGGCUACCUCCACUCAAAAGAGAAGGGGAAGGAAGGACCUCGGCACGGAAUAUCUUAUCACGGCGCCUUACAAAAACCACCAGAUAGCUGAAAAGACUUAUCAAGCAGAUCACAUGCACAAAUUGUGCCAUGCAUCUUGGUAUGGGAAAUCAUGUGAAUGGCCAGAAAAACUAAGUGAUUCCGCGCGUGCGUGUUGCUGCGGAAAUUUGUAGCAACAAUUUUUGUUUAUAAUGAAAUAAAAAAUGUCUACAAAAAUAAACCAAGAAAAACAUUGAACCACCAUUCAGUCCUUCAGGCAAAGCAAACUCCGGCAAACUCACUAAAGAAACUCUCAUGCAAUUCCAUGGCUCGAGUUAUAUGAACUAACCUAUGGGGAGAACCGAAAUCUAUUUGGCUUUAUUUGGAUGUAGACAUUGUGAUGCUUGGCAUUGCAUUGGCUCCAAUUCCAAUAUCAUAGAAUAUUGAUAUUGAGAUCGAAUGUUAAUAUUUCUGUUUGGAUGUCACAAUACGUAUAUACAUGUGCACAUUAAAUGAUUAUAGAAAUUUCGAAGAAACCACUCGCAAUCUGUCAACCGAAUAAUUGGACAAAGUUUUUAUCAAUCCGCACAAAGACGCAUCAACCCAGAAUUUUGCAGCACACAAAAUUCUCUCAGCAGAGAAUUUCUUAACACAAAAUAAUAUAAAGUCUUGGGUUGCUUAUUUCAACAGAUACAAAAGGCUCAUCAUCUGUAGACGAAACACAAAACAGAAUUAAUUUACUCCCUCUGGCCGGAAUUACUUGUCGAAUUAUUACAUGUAUCUAGAGUUUUUACACAUAGAUACUGUUAGAAUAAUCUUGUUGUAUGAGUCCGUUUAGGACUGGUCUGUCCUGAGUUCGAGUAGUACCACUAGUACGAGUCUAAUUAGCUUUGCACACUAAGUCCUAGUCCUAUUAGGAUUAUGUGAUUUUGGGUGUAUAUAUAGAUGCACCAGGGUCAGCUUUUGUACCGUGGGAUUUGAGAUAUUGAGAAGAAAUAAAAAGAGAGGCACGACAGGUGCCUCUGGCCAAAUAAAUUCCCAAUCGUGUGCGUCUUUAUGUGACUGAUCUUUGGGCAAACCCAACAUUUGGUAUCAGAGCGAGGUUAAAGAUUUGAAGACGCGCUUGCCCCCGGGAGGCGAUGUGCUAGCGCCUCGGGGCGAGCAAUCAGCGGCGGAGCGGUGUCCGCGAGCGGGCAAACGGUGCCAGUGCGCGAAGAGGUGUUCAGCGGAUUGGAUCGGGCAAUCGGUGGCUGUGCAGUGGAGCGACGUUCAGCAGAUCAGAUAGGACUAUCGUCACAGUGGACCGAUCUCCUAGUAACGGGAGAUCAUCCUGAUCGUCGGAAAGUACUCAACAUCGGGUCAAACUACGUAUGUACGUCCAGGUCAGCGUCUGUGAGUCGUGGUUGUGUCCAAGUGCUCGUCUGUGUGGGACUCUGUUGCAGCGGAAGUACGUCACGGUCGAAGGGCUGUCCAGUGAGGUGUAUCACUGAGGGUGAAGACGUGCGUGCAGACAAGGUGGCGGGUGUCAUCUGUGUGUCUCGACGAGAAGACGGAAGCUCAAGCGUAUAGUGGGGCGGUGUACCCGUGAAGGUGAGUCUCUUCAAUGAGGACAUGUCUCUACGUGGAGCUAUGGGUUUAGCUAGCACGUAUUGCGCUAGGUGUGGACGGUGUAGUCCAUGCGGGAGCUAGCGUGACUGGGAGUCUGGAUCAUACGUUGAGUGUAGUCAACAAGUCGUGAAGCUGCGGAGAGUCAAGUUCAGGGGGAGCACGAGGAGACGGCAAGUCAAGAUUAGGGGGAGAUUGUUAGAAUAAUCUUGUUGUAUGAGUCCGUUUAGAACUGGUCUGUCCUGAGUUCGAGUAGUACCACUAGUACGAGUCUAAUUAGCUUUGCACAUUAAGUCCUAGUCCUAUUAGGAUUAGGUGAUUUUGGGUGUAUAUAUAGAUGCACUAGGGUCAGCUUUUGUAACGUGGGAUUUGAGAUAUUGAGAAGAAAUAAAAAUAUCGUGCCUCUAGCCAAAUAAAUUCUCGAUCGUGUGCGUCUUUAUGUGACUGAUCUUUGGGCAAACCCAACAGACACAUCCGUAUUUGAGCAAAUUUGAGACAACUAAUACCGGUCGGAAAAAGUAGUAUAUAUUAAAUCCGAUGUGUAAAACGUUUCAUGUGCGACUAUUCAAGAAUAUAAGAAAGAGCCAAAAAUAUUGCUUAGUUACUUACAAUAUAUAGGUUAUUUGGUAAUUUGGAAUUGGGGGAAUUGCGCCUGCCGUACAGCAUUGGCUAGGCAUAAUGCAAUGUAUACAAGAGGAAAGGAAGAGAAAAAAAAAAUAGGAAAGCACUAAAAUAGAAGAGGAAAAAAAGAAGGAAAAUCCAACAGAAGCCGAAGCGGGAGCAGAUACGUACUCCUAGUUUCCUUUUUUUCUCCCUAUUUUCCUUUUUUAAUAUAGCUUUUAUAGUACAAUAAAGAGUACCACAGGUUUUGAGGCAGACUUUUCAAUGAGCCCCCAUUUUUGCUAAUUUGUUCAUAAAAUCACACGUUUUGUGUCCAAUUGUCUCACAUCACCCAAAACAACGGUUUAAACGCAUUUGACAGUAUUUCUUACAUGUGGGUCCCGCAUGUAAGGCAUCACGUCUUUUUCAUUAGACCCCUUGUCUUUUUCUUUUUUUCCUCGUCCCCUCGUCUUCUUCUGCCUUGAGCAUCUUUUUUAACUGGCCAUGGGAAUUUACCCGAUGCAGCGCAGCCACCGCAAGCAACAGACGCACAAACACGCACGAACCCCCUUCUCUCUCUCGAUCGAUUCAUCCGGCUACUCAGUGGCGUGCGUUGCCAUGUAGAGAGUCUAUGAGACCAUCCUAGCUAGAGGUGCAUGGCCAUGGCCCUCCCUUGCAAUUGCACACGUACAGAUCGACCGGUGGUCCUUGACGAGAAAAUCCAAGCAUCCCACGAUACGGCAGCAUGUACACCAUGUUCUGCAUCUCCGGGGAAGCUGGUACGUGCUCACUGCUCAGUGGCGGCAGAGCAACACGGGAUGGCGGAUUCCGCCAGGAGACGCCGACUGCCUGCCGUCCCAGAUCAAGUGCACCCAACGUUGUGCACACCGAGAGCGCCCCAGCUACCGUGUAGGUGUAGCAAUCCGGCCUCACUUCCUGAGCCUGCAUCGCAAGGAAGAGCUCCAGAGCCUCCCGGCGAUGCCCGUUGGAAGCGUAUCCCCCAACAGUAGCGCCCCAACCUCCGCCACCCUCCACACACCGCCUCCCCGGUGCCAAACUGCCAACAUCCGCGACCCGCGCGCAUGCGGUCAGGAUCCGCACGGCCAUGAAGUUUUCCGGACGCAAGCCGCCGGCGAACGCGUCCCUCGCAACGGCGACAGCUUCCCUGACGCGCCCCGCGUCCAUGUACGCGGCGAUGAGCAUGCUUCAGGAGACCAUGCCGGGGCACCGCAUUUUUUUUUCCGAAUCGGGCCUCUCCCCCAUUUUCCAUUCCAAAACGAAACGGAAACAACAAAGUCUUACAAUUUUACAAACAAAGAAAAGAGAGGGGAUAGAGAGGAGAAGCGGAUUCGGGCACCAGCAGGAAACCCACUGUAACGAGACCGUCUCGGUCAGGUUACUAUGGGGCAAAAACCUGCUGCCACCAAUUUAGAAAAACUAGCCUAACCCAGAGUAUCAACACAGUUCAGUAGCACAAAAGUUUCAUCGCCAAAUUACAAGCCCACAACGGAGCAACCGACCUAGCAAGGCCAAGACUGAACCAAAGUCAGAACCCACAAAGUUUUUACGCUGCCACCGGAUGAUGUAAAACUUCAGUCGCCUGUCUUAUAGCCUGGUGACGCCGCCUUGCUGAACCGUAGCUUGCAAUAGACUAGUUGCGCCAUCCAUCAUCCCCUGCCUCAGCGUCAGGUUCUUCUGCAGCUCCGCCCAGUAACGCAGGAAAGAACACAGUACAAAAACCACAGAAGUAGGAUGAUGAACCACUUUCUUUUCGAAGCAAACAGCAUUCCUAGUUUUCCAUAUAGCCCAGCAUACAGCUCCCAGGCCCUCCACAAAGAUAGUUUUCAACCCAGGAAGGAAUCUCUUCACCCAGACAAAGUACUGCCACAAGGAUUGAGGAACUAAAUCAGUCCCAAGUGUAUAAGCAAUACAUCCCAAAACACACUUCGCAACAGUGCAAUCAAAGAAUAGGUGCACCAAGGUUUCAUCUUUAUGACAGAAAAGACACUUAGCAUUCCCAGGUCAAGCUUUUUUGACCAUAUUAUCUUUAGUGAGGAAAGAGUUUAAAAAUAAUUGCCACAUGAAAAUCUUAAUUUUCAGUGGCAGUUUAGCUUUCCAAAUAAAGGUAUAGUUAGGUCCCACAAUGUUCUUACACAAGUGAUUAUAGGUGGAUUUAACAUUGUACUUCUUCUUGGAAUCCCAUUUCCAUAGAAAGGUAUCAGGUGCCAGAGAUAACCUAGUGUUGUCCAAAAUAGACACCACUAGACAGCUAAGGAACCAUGCAGCCAUCUAGAGAAGGGCCUGCAAGUUGUUUUUAAGAUAAGAAACAGACACAUCUUUGUGAUCACAAAAAAGAUAAAGUUCAGGGAAUCUGGCAAACAGGGGUUCAUCCCCAUACCAAAUAUCUUCCCACAAACGCACCAUAUCCCCAAAACCAACCUCACAAUACCUCCCACUAAGGUAAAGUUGCUUAACAUUCAUAAGAUCUUUCCAACAGGAGGAAUCUCCAAUUCUAACAGUGACAGAAGCAAUAGACAACCCCUGCAAGUACUUAGGAGACACAAUGUCCUGCCACAUGUCUGAUUUAGUAUCCAGACGCCACCACCACUUACACAACAAAGCAGUGUUAAAGGUUUCAAUCCUCCUAAAACCAAGCCCCCCUUUCUCUUUAGGUCUACAGACUCUGGUCCACCUCACCAGAUGAUACUUCUUUUUAUUGCUAUUCCCCUGCCAGAAAAAGGUUCUUCUAGUUUUAUCAAUCUUCUCAAUGAUAGUUUUAGGGAGCCUAUACAUGGACAUAUGAUAAGUUGGGACACUAUCCAAGCAAGCUUUAAUGAGAAUGGCCCUUCCCCUAGAAGACAGGGAACCCCCCCCCCCCCUCCAAGCAUCAAGUUUUUUGGACACUUUAGCACACAAGAAAUCUCCCCAAUAGAGCAGCCAAACAUGUCAGAAUAAGCCCGAGCAAUGAUGUUGUCCCCACCAAUGAUGUACAACUCACUCUUAAGGAAAUUGAUUUUCAGACCAAACAUAAGUUCAAAGGUAUAAAGCAAGAGUUUCAAGUUAACAACUUUGUCAAAGUCAUGCUCAAAACAAAGAAUUGUAUCAUUUGCAUACUGCAAGAUGGCUAUACCAGGGGGCUCCAGAUGAGAAAUUAACCCAGUAAUCAUAUCAUUAGCCUGAGCCUUAAGAACCAUCCUAGUAAGACAGUCAGCAGCAAAAUUAAACAGGAAAGGAGACAGGGGGUCAUCCUGCCUCACUCCCUUAUAACUUUGGAAAUAAGGUCCAACCAUAUCAUUUAAUUUGACACAAACAGUUCCAUUGCAAAGCACCGGCUUAAUCCAAGAAACCCAAAUGGGACAAAAACCUCUAGCCUGAAUGCAGGAAAUAAGGAAAUCCCAAUCAACCUUGUCAUAUGCUUUUUCAAAGUCAACACUACAAGAAAUCUGGUGGUCCAUGAUGUUUUCUUUAUGACGCACAAGUAUUUUGUCAUAGUUUUAUGACGAUUUUUGUGAAAACGUCAUGAGUUUGUCCAAAGCUGAAUUGCCAUGCGACCCUGUGACGAAAAUGAAAUAUCGUCAUGAGCAAAAACGUCAUGGACUAAAACUAUAUUUUUGCCUCUCUAUGACAUUGUUUGUGACAUGCUAGUUAGACAAAAAAAACCUUGCUGAAAUUACUUUUGUUUCCUCGUUCACAUUUUUAUUUUUGUUUUCCUAUUUGCAGUAAAUUGGCCGUGUUGGGCCGAUAUGGCUGAAAUUAUUUUUCUUUUCUCGUACACGUUUUCCUAUUUGCAGUAAAGCUAAUACGACGUUUUUUUUGGAUGGAGGGAGUAAUAGAUUUGGAAUUGGAAACAUAGUUUCGACGCCGAUUAAUCCUGCCUUCAUUUUCGGCCCAAUAAAUAUCAUCGUCAGAAGAAGUCCCAGGCCAAUCCUGAAACCCCUCGUCCCAACCUCACCGCUGCCUCUCACCCUACCUCACCCACCUCCUCUCAGUCGCCAUGGAUCUCGCAGCCCCAUAAUAGGAGGCCGCAUAAAUCGCUGUCCCGGAGUAGGAAGCAGUGGAUCUCGCCGUCCUGGAGUAGGAGGCCGUGGAUCUCGCUGACCCGAAGCCCUAGAUGUCUACCUCGCUGCCGUCCCGGAGCAGGAGGCGGUGGAUCUCCCGUCCCAGAGCAGGAGGGCUUGGAUCUCGCUGUCUCAGAGAUGGAGGCCGUGGAUCUCGUCGACCCAGAGGCCUAAACGUCUACCUCGCUGCCGUCCUGGUCGUCUACCUCGCCACCAUCCUAGUCGUCUACCUCGUCGUCCACCACACUGCUAGACCGAUGCGGCAACUCAAAGGUGCUAUUGGAUUACUGACCAAAUCCUACUGCUAAUUGAUUCAAAUUGGGAUAUUGGUCGCAAAACUG